rnacentral:lncRNA from 1 species
UGCAUCUGGCUAGGGAAUAAGGAUAACCUCCAUCAGCCAGCUAGCCAGCAUCCCCCAUCUUCUUCCUCUCUACAGAUCGAGUUCGAUCGAACACAUCCAUCAUAACCAUAUCCAGCCCAAGAAAUGGCGCCUCUCAAGGUGACAGCUGCCUUAUGUGCCGUGCUGGUCCUGAUGAUCCAGCUGCAGGCGCCGGCGGCCGCACAGGACAUAACAUGCGACGAGUGCGGACCGGGAUGUGGCCAGGCGUGCAAUGCGCAGCGCCCCUACUUCUGCAACAGCUUCUGCAACAUCUUUCCCACCCUGUGCAACUACUGCUCCCUCAUCCAAUCCGACUUGUGCGUGCCCGAGUGCACAAACCUCUGCAGGAUCAACUGUGUGCGAUCGAUCAUGCAGGAACGCAUCGACAUGCGUGGAUUCAAGAGUGUCGAUGAGCGUGCCUGCGUUGCCAUUGUUAUAUUUGCUGCUCUAUGUGCAAUAAGUUGAUGCCAGUCAGGCGGCAUGCAUGCAUUGCAUGCGAGUGCCUCGACUUAGCAUUUGAUAUUGUGUUUAAUUUGCUACUAUUCCCUUCACUAUAGAAUAUUACAUAUUACUAUGUUGUGCAUCCAAUGCAUUUAUGUUGUACACCCACCAUUUGGUUAUGAAAAAGACUUGUUUGGAAAAUCACAUAUCUACCAAGGCAAAGUUCAGGUUGCACCCACUUGUGUAUAGUUUAUCUGCAAAGGUCAAAUGUUCUCUUGUUUGGAAGAAACAAAAAAGAGAUUUUUCCUUAUAAGGAUAACACAAAUCUUGAUGCAAACCGAAUGGUUUAUAUAGAUGGUACGCUGGUAUGGGGGUACAAAAAAUCCACACACGAAUUAUUCCUAUAUGCACAUCAUAUAAUUAUCGUUUCUACUUUUUCCAUAAAAGAAGUAACUACUAUAGGCCAAUUGGAGCACCCUAGAGCUCUAUGUAUUAAAUAUGUGACGAUAACAAACUCUAUCCAGCAAUUUACUAAGCAGUCAGUCAGUAAGCAAAUUCAUGUGCAGAGAUAAAGAUGUACUCCUCCCAAUCCCCGACGUAAAUAUAACUAAUUCAUGUGCAGAGACAUGUCUCCUAGCUAAUUGCAGCUAUUCACAAGCACACAGUCCAUAAGCAAAAGUUGAAUUAAAAUAAAUAAUUGAAUGAUCAAGAAAAUACUGUGACUGAAUAAUGAGGAUAGCUUUACCAAUUUAUGUCGAGAAGAAAUUGCUGGAAAAUCCUGCAAACAAACAAUCACAUGGCUAAAAAAGUUAACAGCAACUAAGGAAACAGAUCGAAAACUCUCUCUACACUGCUCCAGGGAAAAAUAACCAGCUGGGGAAAAUCCUCUACCCAUUGCUCAACCCCCAUGACCUAAAGACGAGGACAACACCAACUGAAACUGAAUAUUCAAACUCCAUGGAAACCUGGGGUUCCCUUCCCUUUUUCUUAUACUGCCUAAUACUUAUUGCCAAAUGCAUGGUAAUUAUGAUAAAAGGCAAACAACAAAGAUGCCACAACCCAUAGCUGCCAAGGCCUAAAUGACUUAGUAAACAAGUCCAUGGUGCAUAUAUAUGCUUACACAUGAAACCUGGGAAGAAAUCAGCAAACAAAAAACACCACAAUGUAUUGACAUAUGGUUCUGCUAAUAAAUAAGUUAGAUCCUGUGUAUUUUCCUGGAGGCGAGUGAGUUCGAUCUUGUUGUUUGGCAGAUUCCUCAAUAUGCCCACCAAACACUUGACUUGUAGGUGCACAUUAUCAUCACCAUCUUGGUAUAUGAUUUCACCGAGCCUAAGGUUGUUGCAAUUGAAACGCACCAGGUCCUUGGAAUAUGACUGGUGGUGUUCCAUCACCUCCUUUGUAGGAAGGAAAUCGCAGACCUGUCGAACAACACAAAGGAAUCAAUACUAUUAUAUUACAGAAUGUAUUGAGCUAUGAUAAUUAAUAGUUGAUGAAAGAAGUAGCAGUAGCACCUUGCAAUGGUGCAAAGUGAGCUUCUGCAGGUUAGGCGAGUUGUGUAGGUAUUGGCGCAGCCCGAGGAAGUCGUCGCUGAUAAGACACUGGUCCAGGGACAAGCUUCUCAGGUUCUCAAACUUGAAUACGGGAGGAUGCUCAAGACUCAUAAAGAACGGCAACUGAAAGAGAAAAUCAUACAUACAGACAAUCAAUUUCUUAUCUUUCAAUUCAAUGGCUCUAGAUAGAUAUAGAACAAACGGAAGAUGCAAAGUGAAGAUAUCAAGAAGAAGAUGGCUCUAGAUAGAUAUAGAACAAACGGAAGAUGCAAAGUGAAGAUAUCAAGAAGAAGAUAUUACCGUGACAUCAAAAUCCAACAAGUGCAAGGUUGUCACAUUAGACAGCAUGAGAAGAACAUUCAGCUGUUCAAUCCAGUUCAUCCAGGGCAGUAGGAUCGAGGCAUUGAUAAGUGUCGGCAGGGUAUGUGGUUCGGUCGUAUCAACAAGGGGAUCAGACGCGUCGUCGGUUAGGCGAAGAGAAACAAGAGCAGGGGCCUCUAUAGACAACUUGAAAAAUUUAUGUUCAGACACCGUGUAAUCGCCAUCGGCAAUGGCCAAUUUCUUAGCAUUGCUGGUGAACAGAAAGGCACAGUUUUCGAGUUUCAUGUCCGCCAGAGGUGCCGCUUUAUGUGAAGGUACUCAAUGACCAAGAGGAAGCAGACGUGGACAUUCAACAUGCGGAAUAUUUGGCCUCGACAGUUUUGCAGAUGCUUAUGCUGAGAAGAUAGAAUUGAAACUGAGGACAGUUUCCUUUCAAGGGGGAGAGGAUGCUAUGUCCAACACUAGUUCUAUAUGUACCAUAGACCACCAAGACAUACAAGACCUUGGUCUGAUUCAAGUUAAGUUAGUUUCGCUCGUCACUGUUAGCGAUAACGUGAGGUGUCUUGAUCAGGAGAAAAUGAAGGUUGAAUUAGAAUCACUGUUUGGUGAUGUGCCAAAAUACACAAUACAUGCUUGGAUAUUAGAAAAGGAAGAAAAUGAUUCCAACACAUACACGUUUGGUUGUUUCUUUUGGUUGCCAUGGUUCCAACACAAUACAUGCAUUGACCACUUUAUUGUUUAGUAUGUAGGCAUUUUUACUAAAGAGCAACCUUGUGAUCUCAAAAGAAGUUCGUUUAUGUAAUGGUUAUGUGAGUUUGGUGUUAGACAAUGAGACUUAAAAUGCUUGUUUGUGUAUUGUAUAUAAUUUAUUGUGGCAGGGAUCACGGGAAAAGCAGUAAAAAGUUGUCUGUGAACCGAUCUUUGCCAAGAGCAACUCUCGGCAAAGUGGCAUGCUGGCAGUUGGCUGUGGCGGCUUUGCCGAGAGCCACUCUCGGCAAAGUGGCAUGGGCCAGCUGUUGGCUAUGGCAUCUUUGCCGAGAGCCACUCUGGGCAAAGAGCCGACGGAAUCAGCGGGCAUGAGAGUCACUUUAUAUUGCCGGGUGGUACUCUUUGGCUCUUGGCAAAGUCUUUGCCGAGUGCCCAUAUGUCCUGGCUCUCGGCAAAAUACUGUUUGCCGGAGAGGUGUACACCGGGUGGCUUUUGCCGAAUGCAGCACUAGGCAAAGGCUUUGUCGGCUAUUGUUGGCCAUUUGCCGAGUGUCCUUGGCACUCGGGUAACUCGAUUCCAGUAGUGCCACGUCGAUAACAAGAUUAUACAUGGACAGGAUAUCUUUCGAUAGAGACUAACGGAAGAAUCCUAAUUGGUUACUACUUGUCAUUAUAAAGGCCACUGGAGAUAUGUGUGUACGUGAGCAGGUUUAAAUGGUGGGAUUUGCUGUUUGUCGAGGAUAUACCCUGCGGUAUAACCGGGUCUGAAGUAUGACCCGACCGGUGCUUGGCGACUCACUAGUGACCCGCCUGAACUUGGCGACUCACGAGUGACACGGCCGAGCUCGACAACUCAUUAGUGACCCGGCAGGCGGGUCAGACGAACAACAAGACUCAAUAGCCCAGAAGGCAGCUCAUGGGAAGGCCGACUCAAGUUAUGGUGGGCCGACUUGAGAGAAAAGGCAUAAGGAAUAUUUCCCUUACAAUGGAAGCAAGACUAGGAUUCCACUUGUAAUAGAGUAGCCCUAAUCCUACUAGGAUUAGUCAUGUAAGCUGCCCCUCCAACUUAUAUAAGGAGGGGCAGGGCACCCCAAGAGGGAUAGGUUUUGAGAUAGGCAGACACGCCUUAGACAAGAUCAAAGUAGAUGCUAUCGAGAUAGAGGUAGCAAAACACCGCCCUUGUAACCGAGAUCGUCAUCAUUAUCAAUAUCAAUGAAACAGGAUGUAGGCUUUUACCUCCACCAUGAGGGGCCGAACCUGGGUAAAAUCGAAAGUCUCUCGUCGCGCUCAACCUCGUUGAUGCUACCACUUAGAUGCAUUGGCCUCACAACUAAGUCCUCGCACCUGGGACACAUCUGCCGUGAAAAAACCACGAUAGUUGGCGCCCACUGACGGUGUCCUGGACUAGGGGGUACUCAACGCAUCGUCUCCCGAUCAGUUGGAUUGGGCCGAGGACCCCCAUGGCCGUAUACUCAUGGGCCAGUCCGGAUAGUUGCCGCAUACAAGGAAGAUUCCACAAGACUUGGCGAUCAAGACAAAGACUCCUCCCCCACCGGCGUAUUCGGCUAGGACUCUUGUUAUCCUAGGCCUCUGGUGCAUUAUAUAAACCGAGGCCAGGCUAGUCGAUAGAGGGACAAGAUACAACAAUCAUACCAUAGGCUAGCUUCCAGGGUUUAGCCUCCUUGAUCUCGUGGUAGAUCUACUCUUAUAACACACAUCAUCAAUAUUAAUCAAGCAGGACGUAGGGUUUUACCUCCAUCAAGAGGGCCCGAACCUGGGUAAAACAUCGUGUCCCUCGUCUCCUGUUACCAUCCGCCUAGACGCAUAGUUCGGGACCCCCUACCCGAGAUCCGCCAGUUUUGACACCGACAUUGGUGCUUUCAUUGAGAGUUCCUCUGUGUGUUCGGCAAAAGGUCGAUGGCUCGCCUGCAGAUCAACUGUGACUUCGGCAUCUUCGUCACCAGCUCGACUGGUCACCUUGGUUCGAUCAUGGACUGUGCCCUACCUCCGAUCGUCGUGUUCGGAUGAGGGCCUUCAUCAACAUCAACUCCGAUCUCUAUCAAGAUCAUGGAGGAAUCAUCCAGGGAGGCCGGGGGCUCAACGUCAACAUUGCCCUCGGGCGACCGUACUAUUUUUCUGGACAACGGACUUGUGUCCACCGCCACAGCCUCCUCAAGCGUCGUUUUAACGAUUGCUUCGGUGGAAUAGUGCGGAAUUGAGUCUACAACAACCCUGAAAAAUUUCGUCGAGUUCUGAUGGAGGAAUCUCUGGCAAUCUCCGAUAUACCGGAGCCGCAUUGAAUCUGGACGAGAAUCCGGACGAGUUUAGGGCAUGGUGUCCAGAUUCUAGCUCGGACAUCCUUUGGAAGAUCCAACCGUUGAUCGGCUGCGGAAUUUCUAUAUCUACCACCCCUCAAAAUUUCAGCUCGAUCCGACCGUCCAAACUCCGGGAACCUUCCGAUUAGUGCAUCACUUUUUGGAUCUGUUUUCUGCGCGAAAACGAAUCCGACCCGAGUUCGUCUUUUUUAUGAACGGGAUUUCAGACAUCCUUUUUGAAGGAAGUUUUGUAUGGGGUAUUGUGUUUUGUUCCCGAACAUAUCCCACUAACUUUAAAAUCUUUUGAACAUGAUCUUCAACAUCAUGCUGGUGUUAAACCAGUCCGGCAAUAUUGCUCCACGGCUGCCGACCUGCGCUAGACACGUUGUCACUUUGUUGAGCCAAGCUCAACUUCUUCGGAUCAUCAUCUUGGCAAGCCGAACAAGAGUCCGGCACCGCGAAGGAUAUAUCAUCACCAACAUCGCCGCCCCACGGAUUACACGGAGCGGGCAUACCGGCAUCGCCGCAUGGUCUCUUCAUCAAGCCGGUAUCGACCACGUCACGACCUGCAUCGGCAGGGCCGCACUAUUGCUUCUUCAAGCUGGUGUCCAUCACGCCGACUCAUCGGCUGACACCAAGGCCUCAUCACGUUAGCUGGACCGGGGGCUUCAUCAUCUCUUCAUCAACCUACUCCGAACACUUCGGCGUCACUAGCCGACCAGCUCCGUCACGUUAGCUGGGCCGAGGGCUUUGCCUCGGCGAGCCAACCUUUGCCAGCAUUACCAUGUCGUCGUUUUAUCACCCAUCAGGCAAUGGGUGCGCGGAUCGACUCCUGAUUCCAGGAAUCACCUUCCUUCAGAUUACUACCACAAAUAAACCAGGUGCUAUUAAUCCUAGUAUUUUUUGCUUGUUUGGGCUCAUUUUUCCCAAGGAAUUAUUACUCUGGUUUGUCCAUCAUAUGUACACAGGUCUAUCAAGUGGUGGCCGCAUUAUCGACGGUCGCAUGAUGGUUCGGUCAGUUUCCGUACAUAGUCCGGCGAACGCCGCAUCCGGAACUCGAACCGACCUGUGAAUUCAGGCCUUGCCAUGCCUUUACCGCAUCACGCCGCCGCCCUGCAUCGACAUUGACUUCUGCGCCAGGCCAUAUUUCUUUUAUUACUCACUUUGCAUAAAUUAUUUAUUAUGCAACAUCUUUUUUACUAUUUCUGGUUUGCACUAUUUUUUGUGCACAGGAAAAUGAUCCAGCCGGACUAUAUCCUUCGACGUCACCUCGGCUGGACGGGGGGCUUCGUCAACACUUCAUUACUCAAUGCCAGGGACUUCGGCAUCACUCUGCCGUCCUGCAUUGACCGUGCUAUGUCACCAUUUAACAGUGCCGAGCUCUUUGCUCCGCCACCUUGGGACCGGCUUGGGGGAUAGAACCUUGUCCUGCAUCAAGCUCGGACCGCAUCGUCAAUACCGAACACAUUAACCAGCUAAGUUGCCUUCAUGCUCAAAGUUUUAAAUUUCUAACUUGUGUUCGGUUCGACCAAGCAUUAUACUUUUUUGGAAAAAAGUUGCUUGUAAAAAUUUCCCUUGUCGAAACUUUGUUCGCACACACUUGACGCGCUACCCGCGCUUAUUAUACCUAGGAGCUUCUUUAACAGAAACUUAUUAAUACGGGCUUUAUGCCCAACACAUGUGUCACACUUCCGCAUGUACCUUUUAUUCACCAUUAUAUGCAUCGAUAUGACUUAAGUUUUGGCCAAGCUGGGUUGCCUGGCUCCUGUGCUUACCCCUACGUUCCUGAUUGUUCGGCUAGGUGGUAAAGGGAGCACCUCUGCGAUUGUUACUGCCGGGUCAGCCGGAUGUGUACCUCAGACUGGGUGAAGCCGAAAGCUAGCGUUCUUAAGGAAAUACUCGGUCGGUGAACUAAAAGAUGAUUUCUUACCUAUUUGUUGGCCCCCAGAUGUUUUUCUGCUCUUUUUGCAGUCCGGACAUGCACUUUAGGGCAUAUGCCUCCCAGGGAAAGGAACCCCUAACGGAACUAUUCUCCCUGAAAGAUGUUUUUUACUAACCAUGUAAUAUAACAUAACUAGUUGGGCACUUGUCUGAUAAAGCACUAAUGACCCCUACGCCUGGUCUCCACGCAUGCCCCGGUUUUUAUAACCGCGAGGGUAUUCGAACACACUCCGGACUAUUGGGUCCAGUGGUUGAAGCGAAAAGGUCCGCUACGACAAACGAUCUACAAUCCGGCUAGAAGGCAUUCUACAUGUCACCUUACAUUUUAUAGUCAACUUUUACCCAAGUCACUUGGGGGCUCUUAUGUUUAUUUGAGCCGUUUCAUACUAAGUUUUUUUUCUUAGUCGUUGCAAAGUUAAAGCACGGCAGAAGCACUUUUUUUUCUUCUAAAGUCCAAUUUUCGGAUUGGCACCGAACACUUGACCUUGUUCGGACGUCAUGUUUUUACUGACGUUUUUUUGGUUUUCCAUGAUUUUGGCACUUUUAACUAUUUGUGUGUUUUCAGCACAAGUCUCGCAGUGCAACGCCGGACACCUUUAGAGAUUCGGCAAAAACAUUCUCGGAUAUUGCUAUAUAUGCAUCAGUUUCGAAUUGUGUCUUCGGUCAAUAGUUGGGUUGCCCAGCUCCCGCGCUUGCCUCCUACGUUCCGCUUUGUUCGGCUAGGUGUGCAAAGGGAGAACCACUGCGAUUGUGCUUUCAGCUUGCAUGGUCAAGCACCUCAGUGGAGAAAGCCGAAAACUGACUAUCACAAUAGGUGUAAACUGUUCAGCGAUCCGAUGACUAUAUUAAAUGAUGGGCCAUUCAUAACAUUGGCCGAAGUGUUUCCGGCUUGACCUCGACUGUCGCCGAACACUACCGGGGGCUAUUAACUGGCCUCCCAAACUAAAUCCUCGAUCUUUUGCUCUUACAUAGGAGCUGAGGUUUCAUGAUCAUGCUUAGCAUGACAACCCAAAGAAAGGAACCGAUAGUGGGACUAUUUUCUUUGGAAGACAUUUCUUCUGUUAAACAAUAAUAUAACAUAUCUCUCUACGUACCUUUGUUUAUAAAACCGUAUGGCCAGAUUGCCUUGUUUGUCAUAAAUCUUUGCCCUCAUAAAGGCUAUAAAGUAGGACAAACACUCCUCGGCUAUUGGCCGAGGAGGUGGAAGCCGAUGGUCGGUCAACAAAGUUUUGUACAAUGCGGAUCCGAGCAUUAAUGACGUAAAGUACUUGGAUACAUAGAGUCAUUACACAUAAUUUGUGAUUUUACUAUGGAUAUCGAUCCUUAAUUCGGCCUCCCGUGCCCGCAUUAAGGCUCGGGGGCUACUAGGCUUCGGGCUUAUUAUUUACAAAUAUUAAAGGGGCACAUCGAUCCCCUGAUCUGGUGUUGCCACCCGAUCAGUGUCUCGGGGGCUACUGCAUUGCUUGUUCUAUGCAGAAAAUUUUAAGUGCAAUACAGUUUCUGAGGAGAUUUUGAUCCUCAGGUUGGUCGGCCGCACCCAACCUGAGUCUCGAGGUCUGAGCAUGCCGGUCUUUGCGUCCCGAAGUAUUCUGCCGAGCUAGGACUUGAUCCUCAAGCCGAUUUUGCAAAUCAACCUGAGUCUCAGCGGCUACGGGGAUCAGCGGUCUUAUGUCAUCCUUCAUGUGCAUAUUGGGUUUUCGAACGAUACACACCUUGAGGGCUACUGGCUAUAUAUCUCGUCAGAGAAUAAAUUGCAUCAACAAAAAAUAUUGACAAAAAUCGGCCCACAUUCGGGGUGGUGCACCACCUCAGAAGCAGUCUGGCAUAAAGCUCGAGCGCUAGUGGCUGACUCCAAAGAGGGCAUUUCCGGCAUUAAGCUCGGCUAAACUCCUUCAAACUUCUUUGAACCAAGGUGAUUUACGACACCUCGGAUACAGUCCGACGUUGGAGCUGGGAUACAGUCCGGCGUUGGAGCUCGGAUACAUAGUCCGGCGUUAGAGCUGGGAAGAAGUCCUGCGUCGGUGCUCGGAUGCAAAAGAUACCUCGAAUGCAGUCCGGCGUUGGAGCUCGGACGCAAGAGGACACUGCCUUCUGGGAAUAAUUCAAACCCGAGGCAUGGCAUAAAAAUAAAAAGGCAUUGAUAAAGGCCAGAAACUUAAAGGGGCUCCUCGGAUACCCGACGUGUAAACUCGUUGAAUGCAUUUCGGCGAUCCUCAAGAUCGAAGAUGAGAUGAUUUGUUGAACCAAUUUUCAAGACCGGCAACCGAAGAUGAAGAACAGUUCAGAAGAAUCGAGGAGUGUCCCCAACUUGAAUACCGGUUCAGGGGGCUACGGACAGUGUCCUGGACUAGGGGGUACUCAACGCGUCGUCUCUCGAUCAGUUGGAUUGGGCCGAGGACCCCCAUGGCCGUAUACUCAUGGGCCAGUCCGGACAGUUGCCUCAUACAAGGAAGAUUCCACAAGACUUAGCGAUCAAGACAAAGACUCCUCCCCCACCGGCGUAUUCGGCUAGGACUCUUGUUAUCCUAGGCUCUGGUGCAUUAUAUAAACCAAGGCCAGGCUAGUCGAUAGAGGGACAAGAUACAACAAUCAUACAAUAGGCUAGCUUCUAGGGUUUAGCCUCCUUGAUCUCGUGGUAGAUCCACUCUUGUAACACACAUCAUCAAUAUUAAUCAAGCAGGACAUAGGGUUUCACCUUCAUCAAGAGGGCCCGAACCUGGGUAAAACAUCGUGUCCCUCGUCUCCUGUUACCAUCCGCCUAAACGCACAGUUCGGGACCCCCUACCCGAGAUCCGCCGGUUUUGACACCAACACCCACCAUGGGGCCAGCGCAAGGUGGUGUUGAGUUUUUGGAGGGAUCUUUUCCAGGGUUAGAGAAAUUCGGAAUUUUUGGGAUGAAGAAAACACUGGUUUUGGAAAGAUCUGUUGGAAAUAUGCCCUAGAGGGAGUAAUAAAUUAGUUAUUAUUAUUAUAUUUCCUUGUUCAUGAUAAUCAUUUAUUAUCCAUGCUAUAAUUGUAUUGAUAGGAAACUCAAAUACAUGUGUGGGUACAUAGACAACACCAUGUCCCUAGUAAGCCUCUAGUUGACUAGCUCAUUGAUCAAUAGAUGGUUACGGUUUCCUGACCAUGGACAUUGGAUGUCGUUGAUAACGGGAUCACAUCAUUAGGAGAAUGAUGUGAUGGACAAGACCCAAUCCUAAGCCUAGCACAAAGAUCGUGUAGUUCGUAUGCUAAAGCUUUUCUAAUAUCAAGUAUCAUUUCCUUAGACCGUGAGAUUGUGCAACUCCAGGAUACCGUAGGAAUGCUUUGGGUGUACCAAACGUCACAACGUAACUGGGUGGCUAUAAAGGUGCACUACGGGUAUCUCCGAAAGUGUCUGUUAGGUUAGCACGAAUCGAGAUUGGGAUUUGUCACUACGGUUGACGGAGAGGUAUAUCUGGGCCCACUCGGUAGGACAUCAUCAUAAUGUGCACAAUGUGACCAAGGGGUUGAUCACGGGAUGAUGUGUUACGGAACGAGUAAAGAGACUUGCCGGUAAUGAGAUUGAACAAGGUAUCGGCAUACCGACGAUCGAAUCUUGGGCAAGUACAAUACCGCUAGAGAAAGGGAAUUGAAUACGGGAUUGAUUGAAUCCUCGACAUCAUGGAUCAUCCGAUGAAAUCAUCAUGGAACAUGUGGGAGCCAACAUGGGUAUCCAGAUCCCGCUGUUGGUUAUUGACCGGAGAACGUCUCGGUCAUGUCUGCAUGGUUCCCGAACCCGUAAGGUCUACACACUUAAGGUUUGAUGAUGCUAGGGUUAUAAAGGAACUUUGUAUGUGGUGACCGAAUGUUGUUUGGAGUCCCGGAUGAGAUCUCGGACGUCACGAGGAGUUCCGGAACGGUCCGGAGAUAAAGAUUUAUAUAUGGGAAGUCAUCAUACGGUCACCGGAAUAAUUCGGGGGUUACCGGUAUUGUACCGGGACCACCGAAGGGGUUCAGGGGGUCCACCGGGAGGGUCCACCUGCCCCGAAGGGCCCCAUGGGCUGUUUGUGGAGAGGGACCAGCCACUUAGUGGGCUGGGCGCCUUCCCCCUUAGGGCCCAUGCGCCUAGGGUUUGGGGGAAACCCUGAAGGGGGGGGGGCCUUGCCUUGGGGGGCAAGGCAACCCCCCUGGCCGCCGCCCCCUCCUCAGAUUGGAUCUGAGGGGGCCGGCCCCCCUCUCCCUUGCCCCUACAUAUAUGUGGGGGGUGGGAGGGCAGCCACACCCAAGUUCUGGCGCAGUCCUCCCCCUCUCCCAAGUCCUCCUUCUCUCCCGCGGUGCUUGGCGAAGCCCUGCAGGAUUGCCACGCUCCUCCAUCACCACCACGCCGUUGUGCUACUGCUGGAUGGAGUGUUCCUCAACCUCUCCCUCUCUCCUUGCUGGAUCAAGGCACGGGAGACGUCACCGGGCUGCACGUGUGUUGAACACGGAGGUGCCGUCCGUUCGGCACUAGGAUCUCCGGUGAUUAGGAUCACGACGAGUAUGACUCCUUCAACCCAGUUCUCUUGAACACUUCCGCUUAGCGAUCUACAAGGGUAUGUAGAUGCACUCUCCUUCCCCUCAUUGCUAGAUUACUCCAUAGAUUGAUCUUGGUGAUGCAUAGAAAAUUUUGAAUUUCUGCUACGUUCCCCAACAGUGGCAUCAUGAGGUAGGUCUAUUGCGUAGUUUCUAUGCACGAGUAGAACACAAGUUGUUGUGGGCGUUGAUUUUCUUCAAUAUGCUUACCGUUACUAGUCCAAUCUUGUUUCGACGGUAUUGUGGGAUGAAGCAGCUCGGACCGACCUUACACAUACACUUACGUGAGACAGGUUCCACCGACUGACAUGCACUUGUAGCAUAAGGUGGCUAGCGGGUGCCAGUCUCUCCCACUUCUGUCGGAUCGGGUUCGAUGAAAAGGGUCCUUAUGACGUUGGCAUAUCACGUUGUGGUUUUGCGUAGGUAAGAAACGUUCUUGCUAGAAACCCAUAGCAGCCACGUAAAACAUGCAAACAACAAUUAGAGGACGUCUAACUUGUUUUUGCAGGGUAUGCUAUGUGAUGUGAUAUGGCCAAAAGAAUGUGAUGAAUGAUAUGUGAUGUAUGGGAUUGAUUAUGUUCUUGUAAUAGGAAUCACGACUUGCAUGUCGAUGAGUAUGACAACCGGUAGGAGCCAUAGGAGUUGUCUUAAUUUAUUGUAUGACCUGCGUGUCAUUGAACAACGCCAUGUAAUUACUUUACUUUAUUGCUAAACCGUUAGCCGUAGUAGUAGAAGUAAUAGUUGGCGAGACAACUUCAUGGAGACACGAUGAUGGAGAUCAUGGUGUCAUGCCAGUGAUGAUGAUGAUCAUGGAGCCCCGAAGAUGGAGAUCAAAAGGAGCAAAAUGAUAUUGGCCAUAUCAUCUCACUUUUUGAUUGCAUGUGAUGUUUAUCAUGUUUAUGCAUCUUAUUUGCUUAGAACGAUGGUAGUAAAUAAGAUGAUCCCUCAUUAAAAUUUCAAGAAAGUGUUCCCCCUAACUGUGCCCCGUUGCGACAUUUUGUUGUUUCGAAGCACCACGUGAUGAUCGGGUGUGAUAGAUUCUAACGUUCACAUACAAGCGGUGUAAGCCAGAUUUACACACGCGAAACACUUAGGUUGACUUGACGAGCCUAGCAUGUACAGACAUGGCCUCGGAACACAAGAGACCGAAAGGUCGAGCAUGAGUCGUAUGGUAGAUAUGAUCAACAUGAAGAUGUUCACCGAUGAUGACUAGUCCGUCUCACGUGAUGAUCGGACACGGCCUAGUUGACUCGGAUCAUGUAAUCACUUAGAUAACUAGAGGAAUGUCUAUCUGAGUGGGAGUUCAUAAGGUGAACUUAAUUAUCCUAAACAUAGUCAAAAGAUUCUUGCAAAUUACGUCGUAGCUCGCGCUUUAGUUCUACAGUUUUAGAUAUGUUCCUAGAGAAAAUUUAGUUGAAAGUUGAUAGUAGCAAUUAUGCGGACUAGGUCCAUGAACUGAGGAUUGUCCUCAUUGCUGCGUAGAAAGAUUAUGUCCUUAAUGCACCACUCAGUGUGCUGAACCCCGAACGUCGUCUGUGGAUGUUGCGAACAUCUGACAUACACGUUUUGAUAACUACGUGAUAGUUCAGUUAAAUGGUUUAGAGUUGAGGCACCAAAGACGAUUUCGAAACGUCGCGGAACAUAUGAGAUGUUUCGAGGGCUGAAAUUGGGAUUUCAGGCUUGUGCCCACGUUAAGAGGUAUAAGACCUCCGAUGAUUUUCUUAGCCUGCAAACUAAGGGAGAAAAGCUCAAUCGUUGAGCUUGUACUCAGAUUGUCUGGGUACAACAAUCACUUGAAUCGAGUGGGAGUUAAUCUUCCAGAUGAGGUAGUGAUGUUUCUCCAAAGUCAUUGCACCAAGCUACUAGAGCUUCGUGAUGAACUAUAACAUAUCAGGGAUAGAUAUGAUGAUCCUUGAAAUAUUCGCGAUGUUUGACACCGCAAAAGUAGAAAUCAAGAAGGAGCAUCAAUUGUUGAUGGUUAGUGAAACCACUAGUUUCAAGAAAGGCAAGGGCAAGAAGGAAUACUUCAUGAAACGGCAAAUCAGCUGCUGCUCUAGUGAAUAAACCCAAGGUUGAACCCAAACUCGAGACUCAGUGCUUCUGUAAUAAAGGGAACAACCACUGGAGCAGAAUUACCCUAGAUACUUGGUAGAUGAGAAGGCUGGCAAGGUCGAUAGAAGUAUAUUGGAUAUACAUUAUGUUAAUGUGUACUUUACUAGUACUCCUAGUAGCACCAGAGUAUUAGAUACCGGUUCGGUUGCUAAGUGUUAGUAACACGAAAUAAAAGAUAUGGAAUAAACGGAGACUAGCUAAAGGUGAGCUGACGAUGUGUGUUGGAAGUGUUUCCAAGAUUGAUGUGAUCAAGCAUCGCACGCUCUCUCUACCAUCGAGAUUGGUGUUAAACCUAAAUAAUUGUUAUUUGGUGUUUGCGUUGAGCAUAGACAUGAUUGGAUUAUGUCUAUCGCAAUACGGUUAUUCAUUGAAGGAUAAUAAUGGUUACUCUUUUUAUUUGAAUAAUACCUUCAAUGGUCUUGCACCUAAAAUGAAUGGUUUAUUGAGUCUCGAUCAUAGUGAUACACAUGUUCAUGCCAAAAGAUAUAAGAUAGUAAUGAUAGUACCACCUACUUGUGGCACUGCCAUGUAAGUCAUAUUGGUAUAAAACGCAUGAAGAAGCUCCAUGUUGAUGGAUCUUUGGACUCACUCGUUUUUGAAAAGUUUGAGACAUGCGAACCAUGUCUAUUGGUGUAUAUGCAUGAAGAAACUCCAUGCAAAUGGACCGUUUGGACUCACUUGAUUUUGAAUCACUUGAGACAUGCAAAUCAUACUACAUGGGCAAGAUGACUGAAAAGCCUCGUUUCAGUAAGAUGGAACAAGAAAGAAACUUGUUGGAAGUAAUACAUUUUGAUGUGUGCGGUCCAAUAAGUGCUGAGGCACGCAAUGCAUAUCGUUAUGUUCUUACUUCACAGAUGAUUUGAGUUGAUACUGAGUAUAUUUACUUGAUGAAACACAAGUCUGAAUUAUUGAAUGGUUCAAGUAAUUUCAGAGUGAAGCUGAAGAUCAUCGUGACAAGAGGAUAAAAUGUCUAUAAUAUGAUCAUAGAGAUGAGUAUCUGAGUUACGAGCUUUGGCACGCAAUUAAGACAUUGUGGAAAUUGUUUCACAAUUAAUACCGCCUGGAACACCAUAGUGUGAUGGUGUGUCCGAACAUCAUAGUUGCACCCUAUUGGAUAUGGUGCAUACCAUGAUGUCUCUUAUCGAAUUACCACUAUCGUUCAUGGGUUAGGCAUUAGAGACAACCGCACUCACUUUAAUAGGGCACCACGUAAUUCCGAUGAGAUGACACCAUAUGAACUAUGGUUUAGAGAAACCUAAGCUGUCGUUUCUUGAAAGUUUGGGGCUGCGACGCUUAUGUGAAAAAGUUUCAUCGUGAUAAGCUCAAACCCAAAACGGAUAAAUACAUCUUCAUAGGAUACCCAAAAUGGUUGGGUAUACCUCCUAUCUCAGAUCCGGAAGCAAGAGUAAUUAUUUCUAGAAACGGGUCCUUUCUCGAGGAGAAGUUUCUCUCGAAAGAAUUGAGUGGGAGGAUGGUGGAGACUUGAUGAGGUUGUUGAACCAUCACUUCAACUAGUGUGUAGCAGGGGCACAGGAAGUUGUUCCUGUGGCACCUACACCAAUUGAAGCAGAAGUUGAUGAUAGUGAUCAUGAAACUUCGGAUCAAGUCACUACCAAACCUCGUAGGACGACAAGGACAGGUACUGCUUUAGAGUGGUACGGUAAUCAUGUCUUGGAGGUCAUGUUGCUAGACAACUAUGAACCUAUGAGCUAUGGAAAAGUGAUGGUGGGCCCGGAUUCCGACAAAUGGCUCGAGGCCAUAAAAUUCGAGAGAGGAUCCAUGUAUGAAAACAAAGUGUAGACUUUGGGAGAACUACUUUAUGGUCGUAAGGCUAUUGCGUGCAGAUGGAUUUUAAAAGGAAGUUGCACAAUGAUGGUAAGUAUCACCAUUAAGAAAGCUCGACUUGUCGUUAAGAUGUUUUCCGACAAGUUCAAGGAGUUGACUAGGGUGAGGCUUUCUCACUCGUAGCGAUGCUAAGAGUCAGUUGGAAUUAUAUUAGCAAUUACUACAUGAUUUAUGAAAUCUUGCAGAUAGGAUGUCAAAACAUUGUUUCCUCGACGAUAUCCUUGAGGAAAGAUUGUAUGUGAUACAACCAGAAGGUUUUGUCAAUCCUGAAAGACGCUAACAAGUAUGCAAAGCUCCAGCAAUCCUUCUAAGGACUGGACUAAGCAUCUCGGAGUUGGAAUGUAUGCUUUGAUGAGAUGGUCAAAGAUUUUGGGUUUAUACAAAGUUUAUGAGAAACUUGUAUUUCCAAAGAAAUGAGUGGGAGCACUUUAGAAUUUCUAAUGAGUAUAUGUUAUUGACAUAUUGUUGAUCAGAAAUGAUGUAGAAUUUCUGGAAAGCAUAUAGGAUUAUUUGAAAAAGUGUUUUUCAAUAGAAAACCUGGAUUAAGCUGCUUGAACAUUGAGCAUCAAGAUCUAUGAGGAUAGAUAAAAAAACGCUAAAUGGUACUUUCAAAUGAGCACAUACCUUGACAUGAUCUUGAAGGUGUUCAAGAUGGAUCAAUCAAAGAAGGAGUUCUUGCCUGAGUUGUAAGGUACGAAGUUAAGAGUUAAAGCUCGACCACGGCAGAAGAGAGAGAAAGGACGAAGGUCGUCCCCCAUGCUUCAGACGUAGGCUCUAUAGUAUGCAAUGCUGUGUACCGCACCGGAAGUGUGCCUUGCCAUGAGUCAGUCAAGGGGUACAAGAAUGAUCCAGGAAUGGAUCAUUGGACAGCGGUCAAAAUUGUCCUUGGAGUAAAUAAUGACAUGUUUCUCGAUUAUGGAGGUGAUAAAGAGUUCGGCGAAAGGGUUACGUCGAUGCAAGCUUUAACACCUAUUCGAAUGACUCUGAGUAGCAAACCGGAUACGUAUAGUGGAGGAACCAUUUGGAAUAGCUCCAAGUGGAGCAUGGAAGCAGCAUUUACAAUAUGACAUAGAGAAUUGCGAAAUACAUACGGAUCUGAAUGUUGCAGACCCGUUGACUAAAACCUCUCUCACAAGAAAAACAUGAUCAAACCCCAGAACUCAUUGAGUCUUAAUCACAUGGUGAUGUGAACUAGUUUAGUGACACUAGUAACUCUUUGGAUGUUGGUCACAUGGCGAUGUGACCUAUCAGUGUUAAUCACAUGGCAAUGUGAACUAGAUUAUUGACUCUAGUGCAAGUGGGAGACUGUUGGAAAUAUGCCCUAGAGGGAAUAAUAAAUUAGUUAUUAUUAUUAUAUUUCCUUGUUCAUGAUAAUCGUUUAUUAUCCAUGCUAUAAUUGUAUUGAUAGGAAACUCAGAUACAUGUGUGGGUACAUAGACAACACCAUGUCCCUAGUAAGCCUCUAGUUGACUAGCUCGUUGAUCAAUAGAUGGUUACUGUUUCCUGACCAUGGACAUUGGAUGUCGUUGAUAACGGGAUCACAUCAUUAGGAGAAUGAUGUGAUGGACAAGACCCAAUCCUAAGCCUAGCACAAAGAUCGUGUAGUUCGUAUGCUAAAGCUUUUCUAAUGUCAAGUAUCAUUUCCUUAGACCAUGAGAUUGUGCAACUCCCGAAUACCGUAGGAAUGCUUUGGGUGUACCAAACGUCAAAACGUAACUGGGUGGCUAUAAAGGUGCACUACGGGUAUCUCCGAAAGUGUCUGUUGGGUUGGCACGAAUCGAGACUGGGAUUUGUCACUCCGGUUGACGGAGAGGUAUCUCUGGGGCCCACUCGGUAGGACAUCAUCAUAAUGUGCACAAUGUGACCAAGGGGUUGAUCACGGGAUGAUGUGUUACGGAACGAGUAAAGAGACUUGCCGGUAACGAGAUUGAACAAGGUAUCGGCAUACCGACGAUCGAAUCUCGGGCAAGUACAAUACCACUAGACAAAGGGAAUUGAAUACGGGAUUGAUUGAAUCCUCGAUAUCGUGGUUCAUCCGAUGAGAUCAUCGUGGAACAUGUGGGAGCCAACAUGGGUAUCCAGAUCCCGCUGUUGGUUAUUGACCGGAGAACGUCUUGGUCAUGUCUGCAUGGUUCCCGAACCCGUAGGGUCUACACACUUAAGGUUCGAUGACGCUAGGGUUAUAAAGGAAGUUUGUAUGGGGUUACCGAAUGUUGUUCGGAGUCCCGGAUGAGAUCCCGGACGUCACGAGGAGUCCCGGAACGGUCCGGAGGUAAAGAGUUAUAUAUGUGAAGUCAUCAUACGGUCACCGGAAUAAUUCUAGGGUUACUGGUAUUGUACAGGGACCACCGAAGGGGUUCUGAGGGUCCACCGGGAGGGUCCACCUGCCCUGGAGGGCCCUAUGAGCUGUUUGUGGAGAGGGACCAGCCCCUUAGUGGGUUGGGCGCCUUCCCUCUUAGGGCCCAUGUGCCUAGGGUUUGGGGGAAACCCCAAAGAGGGGGCGCCCCCUUGCCUUCACUUCUAGGGAAAAUGCUAGCAGCAUCGCGGGUUUUAGAUGUAUCAGUAGCGCGGGGAUAGGCGCUACUAAUAAGGCGCUACAGCUAACAGAUAGCAGUAGCGCGUGCUCGCCGGCGCUACUGCUACACAAGUGUAGCAGCAGCGCUGUUUGCGGAAGCUCGCUACUGCUAGUAGCUCUAGCGCGCUUUACCUUGACGCGCUAGUGCUAUUGCGGUGCUGCUGCUAACUUUUAUACAUUCGCUACUGCUAAUUUAAGUAGGUUUUUUUUGUUUUUUUGGCAUAUUUGUUUUGUAUUUGAACAGGCUUUAUAGAAGAAUCUUUAGCACAUAGAAAUGUCAUCAUGAUACACAUACAAAUGCCUGCGAGACCACAAAUGUAAUCAUAGCAUGUAGAUACCAAUAGUCUCAUCAUAAUCAUCAUCCAACACAAAGUGAUAUCUUGUCGUCAUCUCGAAAAUAGCGAUACAUGCAAGUCUCGAAUACUUGCAACUACAACAACAUCAUCCAUCUAAACAAAGGUAUACGCAAGAAGUGCUAUCACUAUGAGUGAGAGCGGAACUAUGCAGUACAUGAGGUGGCGGUUACGAGUCCUCUCUCGCGCUAGCGUGAACCUCAAGUAACUAGCUUCUCCUUCUUGUCUGCUUUUGAAGCCUUUAUGGCUGGCGCCCGUGAACCCAUUCACUUGCGCCUGACACUCAUGCCACUCGUUGUACACCCCCGGAACCUUCCCUUUGUACACGACAUAGAAAUUCCAUCUCGCCAUCAAGAAACUAGGUACCUGUUAGAGAUGCAUGUUCAUGAAGAGGAUGUACAAUCAUAUAUAUGCAACAAAAUAUACUAGAGCAACACCGAAAAAGAAAGGGUUAGAAACUAGAUGCAACAUACAGUAUGCAAAUUAAUUAACUAGAGGUACGCAGGUCAUCGUACGCAAACUAACAAAGUAGCGUUACGCAAGUUCGGCAUGGACCGUGGACAUCACAAAGUUCCAUUGCUACAAAAAGUAUACAAGUUCAACCGACACAUAUCAUCAUUAUUGGCAUCAUAAAUCACUAGAAGUUCCAUCCUUCCAUAUCAUCGAGGAUGAACCCUAGCUUCUUGAACAGCGUGAGGUCUAGACGUUGCAUGCCUAUGCGAGUUCGGACGUCAGCUCGCGAUAUAGGGCCGUGGUGGAACAUCCCCUUCUCAUCGACGACUUCUUUCAUGAUGAUUGUCGCAAUGUCGCUUUGGAUGCGAAAGAAGUCAUCUCUAAGUUUAUAAUCCGCUUCUCCAUGAGAUUCUAGCCACUUGCGGAUACGAUCAUCAUUUCUGCUGUUAAUGCGAAGCUUUUGGUGAUCCGUGUUGAACUGAAUCAUGAGAUGGACUAUGUAGAAUCCAUCCUUCUUGCUUGGUUUUGGGACAUGGAUGCAGGAGAAGUUAGUUUUAUGCGUGAAACCCAUCUUCUUGUUCCUUUGUUUCUUGAUCUGCACGUGGCCACCUCUAAAGCUGAAGCCUUGGAGAGCAUCAUCUAGAAUAUUCAUUAUGUGGGUGUAGUCUUUUUUCUCGUAGUCUCUGGAAGGGUCAAAAUACACGGCGUGGGAGACUUGCGGGUAAAGAAUGAUAAGGACGAUGCGCCCGUUGCUGCGGGGAAAAGACACCUCAAAUUAUUCCCCAUAUGAGAGAGAAGGAAUGAUUGAAAUGUACGAAAGGGUUGUCCGGAACUGACUUACUUUGGAUGAUAAGGCACGAGGACAAUUUCCCGGUCCUUAUACUAUACCAUGAAGUUUUGGAGGUACUCCCUAGCAGUUUCACGCUCAAAGUCGCCGAGACUCAAGAAAGACUUGUGCAUGUAGUACGGAUCCGCCACACAGAUUUGCGAGACUUCUUCACUCUUCAUGACGGAGCUCAUAUGUAGCGCAAAAAAGGCGGACGAUAGUAAAAUCAGGCUGCCUUGUUAGAAACAUCUCAAAGAUAUGGUCAAACCGCAGGAAGAACACCUCCGCGGGCCGUGUGUCAAUGUAGCACUUCCCCUCAGGCACACGAGCCGCGUAUGUCAGAUAUCCUGGAUCCUUUGAGGCUAGUAGGCUUUCCUCAUUCGACAACACAUGGUCGUGCAGUCUCCUGAGAUCCCCUAAUAGUGCCUCCAGCGGUUUCGGUGGUAGCAUCGGCUCGCCCGUGAGAUGGAACAUGACCGCAGUUUUCACGGGUACACGCUCUUCAGAAUGCAUCGUCUGGCUGCUAUGUGCUCUGGCUUGUUUGGAGGCAGUUACCUUCCCCGAUCUCUUCCUCUCCUUUUUCUUGGGCACACCUUCCAGACCCUUCCUUAACCCCUGCCCCAGUGUUCCUGGGCUAAGUACUGUACGACCCUCGUGCCCGGCUAGUUGAGGCUGUGUUGAGGCGGCAUCUUCAGGCGUGUCCUGUGAGGAUUUCAUGAAGAGAGACUUUUUGCAAUCCAUGGUACGACCCUGCCCGGGCAUAUCAUCCAUAUCCUCAUUAGCAAGCUGAUAGCCCGAUUCGUCAUAUGGUUGACUCAUCAUAUCUAUGUCACGGUCAUACGCGUUUGUAUUGAGGUGAUGCUUCCCCGUGUUCCUUUGCUGAAGGCUCUUGAAUUUCGCAGCCUUAGCCUUGGCUGCCUCGGUAGCUCAAGUGUCCUUGAACUUUUCGAACUCCUCUUCCGUAAGUGUCGGAUUUUCCUCCAGAAUCUUGGACAGGGGUGAUGGGGUCAUGUACCUAGGGUAGGGUCAUGGACCUGAUCUAAGUACCUUACCCAAGGACACCCUUAGAAGAGGUCGCCUUCCAGUCGACCAACGAAGGACUCACUCGACUGCAUUGAAGGACUCGACCAUGAAGACUCACUCGACCACCAGGAGGUCAAGAGGCACUCUGCACUGCAACGGCCUGUAAUUAAGUAGGCUUUAUGAUAGUAAAGACACUUUAUGUGGGGCGUUACCAGUAACGCCCCAGACUUAACUCACCUUAAACCCUCUCCCACGUGGGCUGGCUGGGGUCCUGGCGCACUCUAUAUAAGCCACCCCCCUCCACAGGUAGAAGGGUUCGGCACCUUGUAACUCAUACACUCAUAAUCCACUCGACCGCCUCCGGGCUCCGAGAUGUAGGGCUAUUACUUCUUCCGAGAAGGGCCUGAACUCGUACAUCCCUUGUGUUUACAACCUCUCCAUAGCUAGGACCUUGCCUCUCCAUACCUACCCCCCACUCUACUGUCAGGCUUAGAACCACGACAGUUGGCGCCCACCGUGGGGCAGGUGUUUUAGCGAUUUUGUGGAGAAGUUGCGAUUCUUCCGAGUACUUUCAUCAUGGUGUCUUCUGGAGUUUUGGUCGGGGGUCAAGAGAUCCGUCUCGGCACUCUCACCUUCAUCGCCGACGACUCCGCGUGGCUCCAUGAGGCUCCACUCGACGUUGAUGCGCUCCCCGUCCGCGGUGCGACGCAUUUUCGCGCAUGUGUCUGCGGCGUUCUGCUGCGGCAACCGUCGACCCAGUAUCGGUCGGCUCCUCCAUCGUCCACCCUCCCGGUCUCCCGCCAGCGCAAGCGCUCGGGCCGGUCGAGGCUUCAGCGAUGCGUGAGGCACGCGGUGGCUCGCCAAUCGUCCACCACCGAAGUUGCGGCAAUCGAGCCCGACGAAUCUCUCUACGGCUUGUUCGAUCUGUCGACUGGCUCCGUAGAGACUGCAUCCGAGUGCGGUAGCAGUGAUCCAGCGGCGGAAAUCUUGAUGGUCGACGGGCCCCGCAGUCCCCCUGGCUUCGCCCGUGAUGGUGGAGCAGGUGACGGAGGCAACCCCGCACGAGGCCACGAAGAGUACCAGCCCGAGCCACUCGACUCUCUGCAAAGAGAGGAACUUCGCCGCAGGAACGUGGAUGCCCUGCGUACUCCCAUCGCAGGAGAAACCCCCGAGGCUCGUGCCUUGGAGGAGGCACGUCUGGCCAAUUUGGCCGAACGCACUCGACUAGAGAAUCUUCAGCGAGCACUCGACGAGCGCGCGCGGUAACGAGUUCCCGACACCAGUCGACGUCAACUCUUCCCGCCGACUCAGGUAUAUCGAACCCCAAUCCAGAAUUUAGCAGCUGCGACCCGUAUAGCAGAGUCCAUCCAGCCUUCGCAGUCGGAAGCUGGCAGAGGUUUGCUGCAGAUCAGGGAUCUACUCCGGGCAGCAGGAGAUCAGAAUUCAGCCGUGUCUCAGUCGCGCAACAGAAUUCACAGUCGAUCCGUCACUGCGAAUACGGUUCAGUCGGCUCAUAGCCCCAGAUCGCCUCCGCGGCGUGAAGGGCGCGAGAAUCGGCGAGAUCAAUAUGGUGACCGACUCGACCGAGAUGAUAGGCAUCGCGUGCCCAAUUCCCCUCCGAGGGGUGGGUCUUACGCUCCUCGGCAGCAAGAUGACAGGCGUCAGUACAGUACAGGGCGAAGGGUUCCAGUCGACCCCAGAGAACCAGGCUUCGACGCGCGAUCCAUUAUCGUGCAAGGUUUGGUCGACCGGAACAGAGCCCAUCGAGGCGGACUCGACAGAGAUGCACCCACAAGCAGUCGAGUGCAUGUUUCUGGUCCUGAAUGUUUCAGCAGAGCUAUUAGAGCCGCAGUUAUCCCUCCCAAUUUCAGGUUGGCAGCAGGAGUCAGCAAGUUCACUGGUGAGUCUAAGCCUGAAACUUGGCUUGAGGACUAUCGAGUGGCAGUUCAGAUUGGUGGUGGGAACGACGAGGUGGCCAUGAAGCAUUUACCCCUCAUGCUGGAAGGUUCUGCCAGGGCAUGGUUAACUCAAUUACCGCCUAGCAGCAUUUACACUUGGGAAGAUUUGUCCCGAGUGUUCAUCAGAACGUUUGAAGGAACUUGCAAGCGACCAGCUGGACUGACAGAGUUGCAAGUCUGCGUGCAGAAGACCAAUGAGACUCUCAGAGAGUAUAUUCAGAGAUGGAUCACUUUGCACCACACUGUGGAGAAUGUGUCCGAUCAUCAGGCAGUCUGCGCCUUCAAAGAUGGCGUCAAGAACAGAGAACUGAGUUUGAAUUUUGGUCGAACCGGUGACAUGACCUUGAGUCGGAUGAUGGAGAUUGCUACCAAGUACGCCAACGGCGAAGAAGAAGACCGACUCCGAAGCGGCAAGCACAAGCCGAGUCAGUCGGAAAAAGGAAACACCAGUCGGAAACAGAAGCGGAAGGCUGAACCGGCAGCUCCUGGAGAGGCUCUGGCCGUGACUCAGGGAAAGUUUAAGGGGAAACCAAAAGGAUCCUGGAACCCCAAGAAGGUAAAGGAUAAAGAAGGGAACGACGUAAUGGAUAUGCCAUGUCACAUCGACACGAAGAAAGACGAAGAGGGGAAUAUCAUCUACCCGAAGCACACCACUCGCCAAUGUCGACUCCUGAUCCAGCAGUUUCAAGGAAAACAGUCUAAGGACAAGGAGAAGGAGUCGGACAAGGCCGAAGACAAGGAGGAUAGUGAGGAAGGAUAUCCGCAUAUCAACUCCACUCUGAUGAUCUUUGCAGAUGUGGAAAGCAGGAGUCGACUGAAAGUCAUUAACCGAGAGGUGAACAUGGUUGCCCCAGCAAAAGCAAAUUAUCUGAAAUGGUCUCAAAUACCCAUCACAUUCGACCAAUCUGAUCACCCGACUCAUAUUGCCACCCCUGGGAGGCAAGCUUUGGUGGUCGAUCCAGUUGUCGAAGGCACUCGACUGACAAAGGUGCUGAUGGAUGGUGGAAGCGGGCUGAAUUUGUUGUAUGCAGACAAACUGAAAGGAAUGGGCAUUCCGAUGUCCCGACUGAGCACUAGUAACAUGAGCUUUCAUGGAGUUAUACCAGGGAAGAAAGCCGAGUCACUCGGCCAAAUAGCUUUGGACGUGGUGUUUGAUGAUUCGAAACAUUUUCGCAAAGAAAAGUUGACGUUUGAGGUCGUGGAUUUUCAGAGUGCAUAUCAUGCCAUUUUGGGGAGACCAGCUUACGCACGGUUCAUGGCUCGACCAUGUUACGUAUACCUCAAAUUGAAGAUGCCCGGCCCCAAAGGAGUGAUCACUGUCACCGGUGAUAGGAAAAAGGCAGAAGAGUGCUUUCAGAAGGGCUCAAAGAUUGCCGAUUCCCAGGUGACAGCGGUCGAGUUCGAGGAAUACAAGCAAAACGCAGAUCCGAGUGACUUGCUGCGAUCAAAGAAACCCGCCACAGAAUCUGCAUUUCAUUCGUCCGGUGAGACGAAGCCUGUUCACAUUCACCCGACCGACCCCGAUGCAGCUCCGACCCGCAUCUCCACAACACUCGACCCAAAAUAGGAAGAAGCGCUCAUCCAGUUCCUCCGUGAGAACUGGGACAUUUUUGCAUGGAAGCCCGCUGACAUGCCAGGUGUUCCCAGGGGACUGGCUGAGCAUCGCCUAAGAGUCGACUCGUCUGCAAAACCAGUCAAAGAGCAUCUUCGGCGGUCCGCCGUCCAGAAGAGAAAAGCCAUUGGUGAAGAAGUGGCUUGACUGUUGGCGGCAGGAUUUAUCCGAGAGAUAUACCACUCCGAGUGGCUCGCUAAUGUCGUCAUGGUUCCUAAGAAGGACAAGUCGCUCCGAAUGUGCACUGAUUUCAAGCACAUCAACCGGGCCUGCCCGAAAGAUCAUUUUCCUCUCCCUCGCAUAGAUCAAAUUGUUGACUCGACCGUGGGAUGCGAGAUGCCAUCUUUUUUAGAUGCCUACUCCGGGUACCACCAGAUCCGUCUGUACGGACCCGAUGAGGUAAAAACAGCUUUCAUCACUCCAUUCGGGUGCUUCUGCUAUAUCACCAUGCCAUUCGGCCUCAAGAAUGCCGGAGCCACAUUUAUGCGAAUGAUUCAGAAGUGUCUACUCACUCAAAUCAGUCGGAAUGUGGAAGCAUAUAUGGAUGAUAUUGUUGUCAAGUCACGAAAAGGUUCCGACCUGCUCGCUGAUCUCGCCGAAACAUUUGCCAACCUCAGAAGAUAUGAUAUCAAGCUCAAUCCAUCAAAGUGCACAUUUGGAGUUCCUGGUGGCAAGUUACUCGGUUUUCUCGUUUCCGAACGGGGAAUCGACGCUAACCCAGAGAAGAUUGGCACUAUUCUCCGAAUGAAACGCCCUGUGCGAGUGCACGAUGUCCAGAAUCUUACUGGAUGCUUGGCCGCAUUAAGUCGAUUCAUCUCACGACUCGGUGAAAAGGCAUUGCCUCUUUACCGACUGAUGAAGAAGACAGACAAGUUCGAGUGGACUCCAGAAGCUGAUGCAGCGUUUGCCAAGCUAAAAGCUCUGCUCUCCACCCAGCCGUUGCUUGCUGCUCCAAUCAGCAAAGAGCCUCUGUUGCUCUAUAUCGCAGCCACAGGACAAGUCGUCAGUACUGUGCUUACGGUCGAGCGGGAAGAAGAAGGAAAAGCUCUCAAACUUCAGCGCCCAGUGUAUUAUUUGUCUGAAGUCUUGACUCCAUCCAAGCAGAGAUAUCCUCAUUAUCAGAAGCUUGUGUAUGGAAUAUACAUGCCCACAAAGAAGGUUGCUCAUUAUUUUUCUGAUCAUUCCAUCACAGUCGUCAGCGACGCUCCACUAUCAGAGAUUUUGCACAACAGAGAUGCAACUGGUCGAGUGGCCAAAUGGGUGAUUGAACUUCUUCCCCUUGAUAUCAAGUUUGAGGCAAAGAAAGCCAUUAAGUCCCAGGCAAUAGCAGAUUUCCUCGCCGAGUGGAUUGAACAACAGCAGCCGACUGAAGUUCACUCGGAGCAUUGGACCAUGUUCUUUGAUGGCUCUAAGAUGUUGAAUGGUUCCGGUGCUGGGGUUGUCCUGGUUUCCCCCAGAGGAGAUAAGCUCAGAUAUGUGCUCCAGAUUCACUUUGAUUCCUCCAACAAUGAGGCAGAAUAUGAGGCCCUUUUAUAUGGGUUGCGCAUGGCCAUUUCACUCGGCGUCCGGCCAUGAGAAGCCCGGCCAUGACUGGAUACUGCAGUGCAGUUAGGAAGCUGGAAAAGAAGUUCGAGGGGUUGGAGCUCCAUCAUAUACCCCGACUAAAAAAUCAAGCAGCUGAUGAUCUAGCAAAGAUAGGUUCCAAGAGAGAAGCCAUUCCGAGUGGUGUGUUCUUGGAGCAUAUACACACUCCGUCAAUCAAAGAAGACCCUUUCACCGAAGAAACUCCACAGCCCAAGAGUGCCACAGAUCCAACUGAAGUUGAAGUCCCAGCGGUGGUCGACUUGAUCAUGGAGGUCUUGGUUGUCAUUCCCGACUGGACAGUUCCAUAUGUCGCGUAUAUCCUGAGAAAAGAGCUUCCGGAGGAUGAGGAAGAGGCUCGACAGAUCGUCCGACGAUCUAAGGCCUUUACCGUAAUCAAAGGACAAUUAUACAGAGAAAGCGCGACUGGAGUCGGUCAGAAGUGCAUAACACCAGAAGAAGGUCGACUCAUCCUCAAUGAUAUUCACUCGGGGACCUGUGGUCAUCAUGCGUCCUCUCGGACCAUUGUGGCCAAAGCAUACCAAGCCGGAUUUUACUGGCCAAAGGCGAAUGAGAUGGCAAAAGAGAUAGUGGAUAAGUGCGAGGGAUGUCAGUUCUACUCGAAUAUGUCGCACAAGCCUGCGUCGGCUCUGAAGACCAUCCCACUCGUCUGGCCUUUCGCAGUAUGGGGACUGGACAUGGUAGGUCCUUUAAGAACAGGACGAAGUGGCUUCACGCAUGUACUGGUGGCCGUCGACAAGUUCACCAAGUGGAUCGAGGCCAAACCAAUCAAGAACCUUGACACCGGUACUGCUGUUAGCUUCAUCAGGGAACUAAUAUUCAGAUAUGGAGUCCCGCACAACAUCAUUACGGAUAAUGGAUCGAACUUCGACUCGGAGGAAUUCAGAGAUUUCUGCAACUCCCAAGGCACACGGGUCGACUACGCUUCAGUCGCCCAUCCGCAGUCGAAUGGACAAGCAGAGCGAGCUAAUGGACUGAUUCUUAAGGGAUUGAAGCCCCGACUGAUGCGUGAUCUCAAACACGCGGCUGGAGCUUGGGUCGACGAACUUCCCUCAGUGCUUUGGGGGCUGCGGACCACACCUAAUCGGUCGACCGGAAGAACUCCACUCUUCUUGGUCUACGGAGCUGAAGCAGUCUUGCCGAGUGAUCUUCUCCACAAUGCUCCUCGAGUUGAAAUCUACAACGAAGCAGAGGCUGAACAAGCGCGGCAGGACGCAGUCGACCUUUUAGAGGAAGAAAGGGAGAUGGCUCUGAUCCGCUUGACCAUCUACCAACAAGAUUUGCAUCGUUUCCACGCCAGAAAUGUGAGAGGUCGAGCCUUCCAGGAAGGAGAUUUAGUUCUCCGAGUGGAUCAGCACAAACCACACAAGCUUGCUCCUUCUUGGGAAGGUCCCUUCAUCGUCACCAAGGUUCUCCACAACGGGGCGUACCGUCUUUACAACGUCGAGCAUAAUAUCGACGAGCCCCGAGCUUGGAACGCGGAACUACUCCGCCCAUUUUAUACUUAAGUUUUAACACUCGGAUGAGUUGCAAUAAAGUACUUCUGUAGUUCAUGGACCUCAAAAUAAUAGUGUCAUAGUUCCUCCAUAAUUUCUGUCACUUUUUAUUUUUGUCCAAUAAAAUUCCCACUCAGUGGGUGACUUAGCUUCGAAUCCGUUUCGCCUAAGUUUGUAAAAAUCCUACCGAGUGGUGAGCCAGACUCCCACUCGGAGGCUUAGCUGCGAAUCCGUUUCGCCUAAGUUAUCAAAAUCCUACCGAGUGGUAAGCCAGACUUCCACUCGGAGGCUUAGCUGCAGUCCAAGGACUCGCCUAAGUUUAUCAAAAUCCUACCGAGUGGUAAGCCAAACUUUCACUUGGAGGCUUAGCUGCAGCCCUGUGCUCGCCUAAGUUAUAAAAAUCCUACCGAGUGAAGAGCAACCCUCUCACUCGGGGGCUUAGCUGCAGUCCAAGCACUCGCCUAAGUUAUCAAAAUCCUACCGAGUGAAGAGAAACCCUCUCACUCGGAGGCUUAGCUGCAGUCCAAGCACUCGCCUAAGUUAUAAAAAUCCUAAUGAGUGAAGAGCAANNNNNNNNNNNNNNNNNNNNNNNNNNNNNNNNNNNNNNNNNNNNNNNNNNNNNNNNNNNNNNNNNNNNNNNNNNNNNNNNNNNNNNNNNNNNNNNNNNNNNNNNNNNNNNNNNNNNNNNNNNNNNNNNNNNNNNNNNNNNNNNNNNNNNNNNNNNNNNNNNNNNNNNNNNNNNNNNNNNNNNNNNNNNNNNNNNNNNNNNNNNNNNNNNNNNNNNNNNNNNNNNNNNNNNNNNNNNNNNNNNNNNNNNNNNNNNNNNNNNNNNNNNNNNNNNNNNNNNNNNNNNNNNNNNNNNNNNNNNNNNNNNNNNNNNNNNNNNNNNNNNNNNNNNNNNNNNNNNNNNNNNNNNNNNNNNNNNNNNNNNNNNNNNNNNNNNNNNNNNNNNNNNNNNNNNNNNNNNNNNNNNNNNNNNNNNNNNNNNNNNNNNNNNNNNNNNNNNNNNNNNNNNNNNNNNNNNNNNNNNNNNNNNNNNNNNNNNNNNNUAAGCCAGACUUUCACUCGGAGGCUUAGCUGCAGCCCUGUGCUCGCCUAAGUUAUAAAAAUCCUACCGAGUGAAGAGCGACCCUCUCACUCAGAGGCUUAACUGCAGUCCAAGCACUCGCCUAAGUUACAAAAAUCCUAUCGAGUGAAGAGCAACCCUCUCACUCGGAGGCUUAGCUGCAGUCCACGCACUCGCCUAAGUUACAAAAAUCCUACCGAGUGAAGAGCAACCCUCUCACUCGGAGGCUUAGUUGCAGUCCAAGCACUCGCCUAAGUCAUAAAAAUCCUACCGAGUGAAGAGCAAACCUCUCACUCGGAGGCUUAGCUGCAGCCCAGUGCUAGCCUAAGUUAUCAAAAUCCUACCGAGUGAAGAGUAAACCUCUCACUCGGGGGCUUAGCUGCAGCCCAGUGCUCGCCUAAGUUAUAGAAAUCCUACCGAGUGGUAAGCCGGGCUUCCACUCGGAGGCUUAGCCACAGCCCAGUGCUCGCCUAAGUGGACUAAAGAAUAAGUCGAUUGCAGUAAAGGCGCCUUGCUUUGAACCUGCAAAAGACAUUUUGAGCCAAAGGCAAUCGUAUUCAAGCACCAAAUUCAAGUUUGAAUCGAUAUCUAAAGGAACCGAGAGUGCUCAGGCGUUAAGCCUGUUAAGUUUUAUCGGUUACAAUUCCACUGGGCAUACCGAGGCAAAUUUAAAGCGUCGAGCCAGAAGAAGUUUUUUACCCCUCCUGUGGAGGGCUGGAAGGUGCAACGAAUUCAUCAAGGUCAAUUCCGUCGGCGAUCCGAGUGGCAGCUACAAGGAAAGUUUCCAUAAAGGACCUGAAGUCGUGUUUCUUGGUGUUGGCCACCCGAAGGGCCGCCAGCUUCUCUUCUCGCGCAUCUUUACAGUGGACUCGGGCCAGACACAGAGCAACAUCUGCACCACACCGAGCCGAGGACUUCUUCCAUUCCUGCACUCGACCAGGGAUCGAGUUCAAGCGGGCCAUCAGCGACUCAAGGUCAUUCUGAAGUGUCUCCUCAGGCCAGAGCGUCGAGUCGAUGCGAGAUGUGGCGGCCUUCAGCCUUGCGAGAUAGUCCACGACAGUUGCAACACGAGACUCCAGUUGGAAAACAUCCAUGGCAACUUCGUCGUUCGCCGGAGAAUUGACGGGGUCGAGGUUUGGCUCCAGCCGGCUAGUUUCUUCUUCAAAGUUUUGACAAAAUUCUGCAAGGAUGAUCACUAAGUCAAGGGGAUGGUCGAAUGGAAAAACCACAAUUGGAAAUGUUUGCCGAGCAUAGAGGUUUACCUUCAAGCAUAAGAAACAGCUUCUUGGCAAGACCACUCAGGAAGGCCUCCAGAUCAUUUUUCUUCCCAGUCAACUUACUGACUUGGUCGGUCAGGGCAGCUUUAUCAGUUUUUAGUCGACUGACCUCCUUGGCGAUCCCAAGAGUAGCUUUCAGAUUGGUAUUGUCUUGUUCAAGCUUGGUGACUGAAGCUAACUUCUCGUCAGCAAGCUUAAUCUUCUCAGCUAGUUCGAGGUCUUUCUUCUGUUGGGCCUCCCUUACCUUACCUGCAAGUUACAGCAAGAUCAGAUUUUGAAACAAGCAAGGGGAAAAACAGUCGUCAGGAUCUCACCAAACAUACCUUCGGUCUCCUCCUUUGCCUUCGUCAGCUUCUCCUGAACCAGCUUCAAGCUCAGCUCGAGUUGAGUGUGCUUGUUUUCCAGCUCAGAGUAGCGAGCCACAAGAUCACAAGAGUUCUGCGAAGAACCAAUCGACUAAAUGUCAAAUAUAAUUCACUUCCGAGUGAAAAAGGAAAAAACACACGUUUCUAAGACUACAGCCGAAUACAAGAAUUCGACCGUAGUCUCGGGGACUACACCCAGUGGGUGCACUUAGCGUGCCCCCACUAAUUCUGUUGAAGACAAAGUCGACCAGUCGACCUCAAAAAAAAGAGAGAUGUAUUCUUUAAGACUGUAAUCAACUGCAAGCAGUCGACCACAGUCUCGGGGACUACACCCAGUGGGUGCACUCAGUGUGCCCCCACCGGUUUGUGAAAUCCAGUCGACAUAGUCGACUGACAGAAAGACUGACAUCAUAAAGCCUAAGGCCGACUGCCAGCAGUCGACCUUAGCCUUGGGGACUACACCCAGCGGGUGCACUCAGCGUGCCCCCGCUAACACGGAGUUUAAUCGACACACCCAGUGGGUGACUACUAUAAAUUCCGGAAAGGAAAAGUUUUUGGUAGCAUAUCCAACAGAACAAACAGUGGUCGACUGACCUGAACAUUGCUUUGAAGGGCAGAACUGGCGUCAUAAGCUGCCUGGCUCGCAUCCCGGAUGGUCUUUAACUGCUCCAUCAUGAUUCCCGCCUGGCGUGUCGCUUCCUUCGCCGCGCCAGCUUGGUCCUCUGGGACGUGGUGCGUCGUGAAGAGGGAGGGCUGCUGAGCACUCGUCAAUGGAUCUGCGAAGGACACCGCGUGUCGAGUGGUGUUCUCUUCUUCCGCAAUCAGAAUCUCAGGCGCCGUCACAUCCUGGGGCACCUUACUGGCGGACGCUUUCCUACUCCUCCUGCGCUUCAGUGGUUCUUCAUCCUCAUCAUCAUCAAGGAGAUUGAUAACAGUAUUGGGUGGAGCUACGGAGAAGAAUCAGGAUCAGAGAUCGCGAGUCAGUCGACUAAGAACGGCGUUAAGAAUACAGUACCUGGUUUCGAAGUUGCUGCGUCCUCCAUCUCGUAGUCAUCAGCCCGGGCUGAGGUUUCAGAAGUAGCAGCACUGCAACUCCAAAGGAUCAGUCGACUAACUUCAGCGUCGACCAGAGACAAAGUUCACACAAAAUAAGAAGACUUAAGCAGCACGAUUACCCUGAUAUGGUGGGGAUGGACACCUUCGUCUUCGGCAGGAGCUUGAUCGGCUUCGACGAGGCCGCCCUGGGCUGCUUCGGCGCCUUUUCAGUCGGCACCGGAGAGGUGGUCCGAGGGCGCUUGGUCGACUGAGCAACGGUCGCAACCCCCUUGCCACGUUCAGUCGAAGGGUCGUGGACAAGCUUCGACCGCCUUUCUGAACGCGGUGGUACGACCUCCUCCUCCUCUUCCUCCUCGUCUUCAAUGUCAUCUUCAUCACCGUCAUCAUCAUCAUCGUCAUCAUCAUCCUCAGCAAUGUCCGAGUCCCAUUCCUCCUCCUCCUGGCUCUCGCCCCCACUCGCCUCACCCUCCUCAGUCGGAGCUUGUGCCCCAUUGGGCAUCGAGUACAGCUCGGUGAGGGCCUGGUAGAUAUCAAGACAAGGAUCAAUCGACCAGUCGGCAGGAUAAACAGAAACGAAUGUGACAAGGACACAAUGGAGAGCAGAGCAAGCGUACCUUGUUUGGAUCGCUGUUGUGGUCGAGUGGAGGAAUCCUUCUGGCUCCACGUGGGUUAUCCUUGUUUCCGGUAACGGCUGCCAUCCAUCUUUCCAGAGUGACAUCGUCGACUGCUUCUGGAUGGACUCGAGUCUCGUCUUCAGUCCCACAGUACAACCACAUGCAGUGGCUCCGGAACUGAAGGGGCUGGAUGCGACGCCUAAGGAAGACCUCCAGGAGGUCCAUGCCCGUCACUCCCUCCCGAACCAACUGCACCACGCGCUCCAUCAACAUCUUCACGUCAGCUUUCUCCUCCGGAAUCAACUUCAGAGAGGAGGGCUUGUUCACUCGGUCCAUGGUAAACUGAGGGAGUCCACUCGACUGCCCCGGCGUCGACUGGUCCUGGCAGUAGAACCAGGUCGACUGCUAGCCUCUUGCUGACUCGGGAAAGGUCAUGGGCGGGAAGGUGCUCUUAUUCCUCACCUGGAUCCCCAGACCCCCACACACUUGGACGACUCGAGUUCUUUCAUCGCCUGGGCUCGCCUUCUUCACGGUCUGAGAGCGACACGUGAAUAUAUGCUUGAACAAACCCCAGUGCGGUCGACAGCCCAAGAAACCCUCACACAUGGACACAAAUGCGGCAAGAUAGGCGAUAGAAUUUGGGGUAAAGUGGUGGAGCUGCGCUCCAAAGAAGUUCAAGAAGCCACGGAAGAAAAUACUCGGCGGCAAAGAAAAUCCACGUUCAACAUGGGUGGCCAAGAGCACACACUCACCUUCUUCUGGCUGGGGCUGCCACUCCUUCCCCGGAAGCCUCGCAGCUCCAUGAGGGAUCAAGCCCUCGUUGGCCAUGUCGAGGAGGUCUUUUUCUGUGAUGGUCGACUGGAUCCAGUCUCCUUGGACACAGCCCUUUGGCAGGCGGGAUCUGGACGAAGACCCGCCGCGGCUGGUAGAUCUCCCCUUCGCCUUCUCCGAUGCCGACGCCUUCUUCGCACGUUCCAGCGCCGCCGUCUUCUCCUUGGCCAUGGUUGCCGGCGAGAUGCGCGUGGGAAAGUUGUGCGGGGGCGAGAGCGAGCGCGCUGGACGGGGACGAAGGGAGCAGAGAGAGAGAGAGAAUGCUGAGGCACAGUACAGAAAUCCUCACCGGGCACAUUUAUAAGGUCCCUUCUGAGUGGAUGACAGGUGGGCCCGGUCGAUCUAAUCAUAUCCAGGAACAGUUAUGCAGACGGGAUAUGUGGCGAAGAAAGCGGCGCGGAGAUCGAGGCGUCUAUGUCCCGUCCCAUCCGAACGCCGCGGUCCGCUCCGCUUCGCGCGCGUCCCCAAAUUUCGCAUCUCGCGAAAUCCGCGAACAGCAGAUCAGUCUGUCAGACAUGGGGUUUCCCGCGAUCCGUCGCUCGGAGAUCGUCGAAGCCCGAAACAUCACUCGACGCAAGAAGAGAAUGGAUCGAGUCGAGUGAAGACAAGUUGCUCACUGUCGACGAAGAGAUUCUUUGGUCCAGAACAACGCACGACCAGAGCGCAAAGGUUAAUCGGAAACAACAUCAACUCCUUCCUCACUCGAAGCCUCAAUCCAUUCGGGGGCUAAUGAUGGGCUCAUGUACCUAGGGUAGGGUCAUGGACCUGAUCUAAGUACCUUACCCAAGGACACCCUUAGAAGAGGUCGCCUUCCAGUCGGCCAACGAAGGACUCACUCGACUGCAUUGAAGGACUCGACCAUGAAGACUCACUCGACCACCAGGAGGUCAAGAGGCACUCUGCACUGCAACGGCCUGUAAUUAAGUAGGCUUUAUGAUAGUAAAGACACUUUAUGUGGGGCGUUACCAGUAACGCCCCAGACUUAACUCACCUUAAACCCUCUCCUACGUGGGCUGGCUGGGGUCCUGGCGCACUCUAUAUAAGCCACCCCCCUCCACAGGUAGAAGGGUUCGGCACCUUGUAACUCAUACACUCAUAAUCCACUCGACCGCCUCCGGGCUCCGAGACGUAGGGCUAUUACUUCUUCCGAGAAGGGCCUGAACUCAUACAUCCCUUGUGUUUACAACCUCUCCAUAGCUAGGACCUUGCCUCUCCAUACCUACCCCCACUCUACUGUCAGGCUUAGAACCACGACAAGGGGUUCAUCAGCCUCAAUAGCUCGUUUCACCCUCGUUUUCCAGGAGGCCAAAUCAUUGUUGAACAUGCCAUGGCGUGAUUGUUAAUAUUUUUCAUCUUCGGAUCAUCCCACGGUUGUUUUGUGUUAUCAUCCCGGUCGGGGAACUUGAAUCUCUUGUGCAACUUUGUUAGGAGCAACUGCGUCAAAUGUUCUUUACUCCUUAAGUCAUCGUCGUUGAUGCUCGCGCAUUCCCGUAGGAUGCAUCCUACUUGGUUCCCAUAGCACUUGCGAGGUUCUUCCGGCUCUAACGGCUCAAACUUGCCAGGUGCCAUCUUUGUGAUCACAAGUCGUCCAAUCCCUAGUUUGUUAGGUUUUCGUAUCCUCUGCUUCUUAUGCUUCCUCUUUUCGGUAGCGGCAUCGGGGCCGGUACCUUCCCUGCCGGUACCUUCCCUGCCGGUACCUUCCCCGCCGGUACCUUCCCCACCGGUCCCGGUGCUACCAUCGGUGCCGACGCUGUCGGUGUCGAUGUCGGCGCCAGUACCAUCAUCGAGGCCGACCUGCAAACCUUGCUUAGCAGUCAAAUAGUCGAGGUACUCUUGUUCACCCUCAUAAUCCAUCUCGUCUGCAUCUUGGUCAGAAGGCCCAGUUUCUUCGUUGUUCGACAUGUUUCCUAUGAUUAAGUGUCCUCAUUUAUUUCUAAAAGUAUGAAUAAAUGAGAAAUGACAUAAAAAAAAUCUAUGUGCGAGCACUCGAUAUGCCAACUAUGUAGCACAAAAUCAUGCCUUUAUUCACGGGAAAUUUCAGCAUAACCUUUGCUAAAAAAUGGACAUAUCGAGCGCCUGAAAUUCACCGGAAUGGAAAUGAAUCAACAUUCCGGCGUAACAUAGGCCACUUGGAUCAUUUUCCAAACAUGACAUGUCCAAAACAUGACAUAUGCACAUAUCACAUGUCCAGUUCAAAUUUGCACAUAUCACAUGUCCAGUUCAAAUUUUGAAACCUAGCUAAAUUCAUAACUAAAUAGAUAACCUAAUUAACAUACUGCCCUAACUAAAACCUAAGUAAAUUAACCGAAGAACCCUAGCAGAGAGAGAGUGGGUUGGGGCGUUUACAGAGGGUGCAGGGGCGAGGAGGCAGGCCCGACGACGGCCGGGAGGGGAGAGGAGGGAGGCGAGGGCCGACGGGUUGGGGGCGAGCGCGCCAGGGUCGGGGGCGAGCGCCGGCACCGGGGUCGGGGNNNNNNNNNNNNNNNNNNNNNNNNNNNNNNNNNNNNNNNNNNNNNNNNNNNNNNNNNNNNNNNNNNNNNNNNNNNNNNNNNNNNNNNNNNNNNNNNNNNNNNNNNNNNNNNNNNNNNNNNNNNNNNNNNNNNNNNNNNNNNNNNNNNNNNNNNNNNNNNNNNNNNNNNNNNNNNNNNNNNNNNNNNNNNNNNNNNNNNNNNNNNNNNNNNNNNNNNNNNNNNNNNNNNNNNNNNNNNNNNNNNNNNNNNNNNNNNNNNNNNNNNNNNNNNNNNNNNNNNNNNNNNNNNNNNNNNNNNNNNNNNNNNNNNNNNNNNNNNNNNNNNNNNNNNNNNNNNNNNNNNNNNNNNNNNNNNNNNNNNNNNNNNNNNNNNNNNNNNNNNNNNNNNNNNNNNNNNNNNNNNNNNNNNNNNNNNNNNNNNNNNNNNNNNNGCGCCGGGGUCGGGGCUAGCGCCCGCGCCGGAGUCGGGGGCGAGCGCCGGGGCCGGGUCGGGCGCGACGGUGCGACGGGGGAGAGUGGGGAUUUGGGGGGGGGGAGGCGGGAUGAAGCAGGGCGGGUGAGAAUUUUGGGUUAGGUGGACGUAGCAGUAGCGCAUUUGGACAAAAUGCGCUGCUACUACCUUUAGUAGCUGUAGCGCUUUAUACGAAAUUCGCUUCUACUAACUUCAGUAUCUGUAGCGGUUUAGGCAAAACGCGCUGGUACUACCUCCGCUACUGCCAGUUUUCCUUUUUCUUUUCCUUCAUUUUAUCCCACUUUUAUUUCCCGAGGGCAGUGAACGAAGGGAGGGCGAUAUAUAUUGCAUCAUUUGACGGUUAAAUAUGUAUGCAAAAUAGGAACAUAUAUAUAUUACACAUCAUUGGACCCAUGCAUAAUAAUGGCUAAGUGUGUAUACAAAAUAGGAACACACACACACACACACACACACACAUAUAUAUAUAUAUAUAUAUAUAUUACAUCAUUUGACCGAUAACAUAAGUUUCCUCAGUGCUGAGAUUUUCGUUUUUGAGUCUGCUUCUUUCCCUUCUUGUUCGUCGAAGAAUAAUUGAGCCCCUCAUUGUGACUUUGCCUUUUCCAUGGAGUAUGAUUUUUCUUAGGUAAUGUAGUAUUGAUUCUUCUUUUGACGUAUACUUCAUCAUCAUCAUCAUCUUCCCUCAUUGGGUUGCAGUACUGAUCAUAGUCUUCCUUGUUGGCGACUCCAUCCAUUCCAAUGAUGUUCCUUUUGCCUCUCCUCAGGACAACACGGCUGGGAUUGUGCGGGUCAGUUAUGAAGAAGCAUUGUGUCACGUGCUUAGCGUGUACCCAUGGCUCGUUUUUUGCGAUAGCGUUCACGGUAGCGCUCUUGGCAUCGGGUAUAGUCAUGGUAGUUAAAAUCCGGCUUUCUCUUUCGACAUUCUUAGCCCAUCUGACACGGAACAUCGUCGUGUUGUGCAGUCCAGAGUAGUCAAGCUCCCAGAUCUCCUCGACCCUUCCAUAAAAUUGUUCAGUUGCGCCGUUGUCGCUGCCGGUCAUGCAUUCCAUCAUCACCCCUGAGUUCUGACCAUCACUGUCCAUAUCUUUGGCUCCGUGUAGAACGUGUAUCCGUUGAUAUCAUAUGCCUGAUAGGUUACGAGGUUGGGCGAGGGGCCAUGUGCUAAGGCGUAUAUGAGCAAUCCGUCCUUAGAGCCCUCCUCCGGAGGAUUAGCAAUAAUAUGCUCUUUGAACCAAUGCAGGAAACUGGAGUUGUGCUCACUAGUAACUUCGGCGUCCGUCCUGCAUACCCCCCGGUCACGAUACUUCUUUGCGAUAAUUUCUUUGUGCAGUGCCACGAAAGGAUCUACCUCGUCUAGGUGUUGUAGCACUACCAAGUUUGCUCUGUCAAAGUCGCUGCGUCGAUCUGAGUAUGCCACGUACAGUUCCCUGCGACCGUUGUAGUGACCAUCUCCUUCGAGCCUCCCAACGUGCUUGUUAACGGGCAAACCAACACUAACACCAGGCGGCUGGUCUGCGCCAUAUAGAAAAUUCUCACAGAAAGAGAUGAACUCUUGUGCCAAAUAGCCCUGGACGAUGCUUCCAUCCGGACGGGACAUGUUACGAACGAAUCCUUUGAUGAUCCCAUUCAUCCUCUCAAAUGGCAUCAUGUUGUGCAGGAAUGACGGCCCUAGGUCUAUUAUGUCAUCCACAAUAUGGACACACACAUGCACCAUCACGUCAAAGAACGCGGGCGGGAAGUACAUCUCAAGCUCAUUCAGUAUCACAACGAUCUCUUCCUGUAGCCUUUGGAGCUGCUUCACACUGAUCGACUUUCGAGAGAUGACGUCGAAAAAGUUGCAGAGACCAAUAAGCGUGUCACGGAUGUGCUUGUCCAUUAUCCCUCUAAGGGAAACAGGUAGUAUCCGCGUCAUCAUCACAUGACAGUCAUGAGACUUCAUCCCGCUGAACCUUUUAUUGUCCGUGUCUAGAUAUCUUCUUAUCUUGCCACAAUAACCGGAACUAACUUUGACUCUGGUAAGGCACUUAGGCAUUGAUCUCAGCCUGACUUAAGGUGAAGCAAGAAGGGGGGCAAUAAUCCUCUUUCUUUAUUUUCUUGCCCUUCUUCUCCCGUGCCUCUGUCUCCGUCUCUGUCUCGUCUGACAUUUUAUGGGGCGGCAUGUGCAGAUCUUCCCUAAUUUUUAGAUCUUGCAAGUCUUUUCUUGCCUUCGGCCCAUCCUUGGUCUUAUCCGACAUGUUCAUGAGUGUUGCGAGCAAGCUCUCAAGGACAUUCUUACAGAUCUGCAUUUGGUCAAGUCAAUGAGGUGUAUCGAGUUUGUGCCAGUACUCCAAGUCCCAGAACACAGACCUCGUCUUCCAUACCUUCAGCAGCGGCUCCGGCGCCUUUCUCAUCGUCUUUCCCGGCGCGGGGCACUCCUUCUAGUUUUUCAACAGCUCAUCGAUUUCGGCACCGCUCCGCUUACGUGGAGGUCCUCGAUGCUCAGCGUGACCAUUGAAUAGAUCUCCACGGUUUCUCCACGGGUCGUCCUGUUCAAGCCAUCUUUGAUGCCCCAUGUACACGAUUUUCCCAGAACCGCCAUGUUUCCUUGACGUUAGCUGCUGAGACGUUGUAUCAUCCAUGCACCGCGUGCAUCCGCAAUAUCCAUGGCACACCUAGCCUGCCACAUAUCCGUAACCGAGAUAGUCCUGCACUGUCGUGAUCAGCGCGGCUCUCAUGUUGAAAUAAUCACCUUUGCUGGCGUCCCAUGUCUUGGCCGGUGUUUUCCAUAACGUGUCUAACUCCUCUUGAAGUAGCCCCAGAUACAAAUUAAUAUUAUUUUCUGGUUGUUUCGGCCCUUGAAUAAGCAUGCUCAUGUGAAUGUACUUCGAUUUCAUGCACAACCAGGGGGGAGGUUGUACAUCCAUACAAACAUGGGCCAUGUGCUAUGGUUGGUGUUAUGGUUGCCAAACGGAUUCAUGCCAUCGGCACACGCUCCGAGCACGAUGUUCCUUGCAUCACAUUCAAAAUACCGAUAGAAGCUGUUCAACGCUCUCCACUGGCUUCCAUCCUUCACGUGUCUCAGCUUCAGAUCAUCUCCAUCGUCGGGCUUCUUCCUCUCCGCGUGCCAGCGCAUUAGCUUUGCUUCCUUGGGAUGUACAAAAUACCUCUGGAGAUGGGGAGUGAUCGGUAAGUACCAUACAACUUUCUGGGGACAUUUCUUCCUGGUCUUCUUGUAUCGAGAAGCAUUGCACAUCGGACAGCUUGUUUUUUCCGCGUGCUCCUUCUGAUAAAUUAUGCAAUUGUUGAUGCAUGCAUGGUAUCUAACCUGUGGCAGAUCAAGAGGGCACAUGAUCUUCUUGGCCUCAUCAACACUAGUAAGACAUAGAUUACCCGCGGGAAGAACAUCCUUUAGGUACUUGAGAUGCUCAUCGAGGCUAGUGUCGGUCCAUUUGUUUUUAGCCUUCGUCUUCAGGAGUUGGAGCAUGAAACUCAAGCGGGUCACCUCAGGAUUGCAACCAUCAUACAAUGGAGUGUUCGAGUCUACCACCGGUUGUUCCAGCUUAGCCUCCUCUCUAGAAGCAGCUCUCUCAGUACUCGUCUCCUUGCGAAGCAAUGCUUGAACAUGAGGGUCCCGCACGAUUGAACUUAGUACCGACGAACUCUGCUGCGUGGAGUCCAUGUCGUUCUCUCCGCCGCCAUGUCCGACCCCUUCUCCUCCGCCAUGUCCGGCCCCUUCUCCGCCGCCAUGUCCGGCCUCUUCCCCGAAGCCAUUAUCGAUCAUCUCUUCGUCUUGCCCCAUGUCACCAUUGCCUGACCCGUCGGCAUCCUCAACAUCGUCAUCCUCAUCUUCAAUUAUCCACCAAGUAUAGCCAUCCAUGAAACCAGUCAUGAGCAGGUGCGCUUCGACACGACCAUCAUCAUGGGGGUCGAGCCAAACUAUUCCUUUGCAUUUUCGACACAGACAUAAAACCUCUGUCCGGUUAUUUUCUUUCAUGUCCUGCACCGCCGACCGCAACCACCUGUCCACCAUCGUUCCACUGACCAUCGUCAACUCUGCACGGUAAUAAUAAACAAAUUAAUUAUAAUAAUGCAUGCAUGGAUCAAAGUCAUACAAAAAUUUGGCAUGACCUUCCCUAAAAAUAGGACAUAUAUGGAUCUAGAGUUUGCCCGGAAUUCGCCGAGACGGAAAUAAAUCAACAUUUCGGCAAAACAUAGGCAACUCAAAAGCACAAUUUGGCGUGCCACACACACAAUUUCCACAAACAUAUCACACACACAUAAACAUAUUUCCAUUUUGCAAAAGCAUGAAAUUUUCAUCACAUCUAUCUCGAUCGAGAUCGAGCACACGGUGGAGAUGAUGUUGUAGGGAGAUCAAAAGUGCACAAAGCUCUUCUUGACAAAGAUAGAUCUAGUUAGGGGGCAAAUAGGUCACUUAACUAAAUCCUACAUCUACCUAGCUACCUAAUUUGGGAGGAGAUAACUUCAACUAGUGGAGGGGAAAGGAAAAAGAGAAAGGAGAUGCAUUAAUGGAGGUGGUGUAGUUAGGUAGGAGUAAUGAAGAGAGAGAAAGGUGGAUAGAAGAGAAAGAGUAAUGGGGGAGAAGUAUUGAGGAAGAAGAACAGUGAGAGUGGGAGCAUGUGGGGGAGGUAGGGGGAAGGGAAGAGAGGAGGGGGAGGGGAGGCACGGGUGGGGAAAGGUGGUGGGUUGGUGCGGGUUAGCAGUAGCGCGGGAGCAGAAAUGCGCUGCUGAUAAGGAAUUAGCAGCAGCGCACUUUGGGCCACGGCGCUACUGCUAACAGUGACAAAAAAGUGUGCCAAUUUGCAAUGUAGCAGCAGCGAUCUCAGUAAAAGCGCGCUACUACUACAUCCGUAGCAGUAGCGCGGUUCGGGCCACGGCGCUACUGCUAAAUGGAGUUAGGUGAACACCACCGGUCGAUAUUUGUAGCAGCGCGGUUUACACAGAGCGCGCUACUGCUAAAAACUUAACAGCAGCGAGUUUCCAGCACACGCGCUACUACUAAUUAGAAGCAGCACUCCUUUUUGAGCCGCGCUGCUGCUAAGAUUCUGUGUAUAGGCUUUUCCCUAGUAGUGCUUGGGGGGCAAGGCAACCCCCCUGGCCACCGCCCCCUCCUCAGAUUGGAUCUGAGGGGGCCGGCCCCCCUCUCCCUUGCCCCUAUAUAUAUGUGGGGGUGGGAGGGUAGCCGCACCCAAGUUCUGGCGCAGCCCUCCCCCUCUCCCAAGUCCUCCUCCUCUCCCGCGGUGCUUGGCGAAGCCCUGCAGGAUUGCCAUGCUCCUCCAUCACCACCACACCAUUGUGUUGCUGCUGGACGAAGUAUUCCUCAACCUCUCCCUCUCUCCUUGCUGGAUCAAGGCACGGGAGACGUCACCGGGCUGCACGUGUGUUGAACACGGAGGUGCCGUCCGUUCGGCACUAGGAUCUCCGGUGAUUUGGAUCACGACGAGUACGACUCCUUCAACCCCGUUCUCUUGAACGCUUCUGCUUAGCGAUCUACAAGGGUAUGUAUAUGCACUCUCCUUCCCCUCGUUGCUAGAUUACUCCAUAUAUUGAUCUUGGUGAUCUAUAGAAAAUUUUGAAUUUCUACUACGUUCCCCAACAAGAUCUACAUCGACUUGGAGUUUACUAGAUCAAGAUCAGAAACUUUUUAUGGGCAUAAUCCAUCAAUGCUGUUGACAGGAUCAAUAGAGAAGGUCCCAAAGAUUUAGCACAAGCCGCUGCAUAUACCAACAGGACCAACCUGCUAUCAUCAAACAAGCAAAAUCUCUACUCUUAAUGUCUCAGUUGGUAGUUUCGCCUCAGUCCCACCUCAUCCCACCACUUCUAUCUUUCGGCCACCUUUCACGUCACGUUAGAGCAGCGUACUGGGCCGGCUCAUUAAGAAAAAUCAGCCGAACGAGGUCCCCUAGUACCGACGAAAAAAACAUGCCGCACGACUCCUCUCUAGAUCGAGCUACUCCCUCGAUCUAUUUCCUAGGCGUGAACGCCGCCGCCGCCAUCUUGGAAUCCUCCGCCGCCCAAUGUCGUUGCUCCUCCACCGCCUAGCACCAGCACGACCUCCGAGACUACCAUCGUCAUCGCCGAACCCCACAUCAGGGCAGGACCCACGGGUGGGUGUGGUUUGUGGGAUGCCACUGACCCCGUCGUUGCGGAAUCCUAGGGAAGGGCAUGGUGUUGUGGGAGCGACGCAAGGCCGUGUCGGCCAAUUUCUACAUCAAGGAGGAACACAUGUAUUUAGAUCUGACACUAACAUUACGAGUAAGGCGGCUUGGAAUCCUCCAUCAUACCUCAAUAUGACCGGCUCUUCUCUGAUCUAUUUAUGUGUUCAACCGUCUCUUCUCUGAUCCCGACUCACGCUAUAUACAAUGGGAUUGCAACAUGAUUUGGCUUCUUACCUACUGGUAUUGGCAAUGCGUAUCUCUUCUUGAUGCCAUUUAAUGACAACUCGAUUUCUCACAUGUUAUCUCUAUUCCUAAUGUCUCAGUUGGUAAUCUCGCCUCACUACCACCUCAUCCCACCACUUCUAUCUUCCACCAACCUUUCACGGCACGUUACAACAGCGUAUUAGGCCGGCCCAUUAAGAAAAAUCAGCCGAACGAGGUCCCCUCAAACCGAUGGGAAAAAACAUACCGCACGACUCCUCUCUAGAUCGAGGUACUCCCUCGAUCUAUUUCCUAGGCGUGAACGCCGGCGCCGCCACCUCAAAAUCCUCCGCCACAAAACGUCGCUGCUCCUCCAUCGCUUAGGACCGAUGCAGCUUCGAAGACUGCCACCGCCAUCGCCAAACCCCACAUCAGGGCAGGACUCAUGGGAGGGUGUGGUUUGUGGGACGCCACCACCCCCGUCAUUGCGGAACCCUAUGGCAGGGCAUAGUGUUACGAGAGCGACGCGAGGCCGUGCUGGCCAAUCGCUACAUCAAGGAGGAACACAUGUAUUUACAUCUGACACUAACAGUACGAGUAAGGCGGCUUGGAAUCCUCCAUCAUAACUCAAUAUGAUUGUCUCUUCUCUGAUCUAUUUAUGUGUUCAACCGUCUCUUCUCUGAUCCCGACUCACGCUAUAUACAAUGGGAUUGCAACAUGAUUUUGCUUCUUACCUACUGGUAUUGGCAAUGCGUAUCUCUUCUUGAUGCCAUUUAAUGACAACUCGAUUUCUCACAUGUUAUUUCUAUUCCUAAUGUCUCAGUUGGUAAUCUCGCCUCACUCCCACCUCAUCCCACCACUUCUAUCUUCCGCCAACCUUUCACGGCACGUAUAGCAGGGUAUUGGGCCGGCCCAUUAAGAAAAAUCAGCCGAACAAGGUCCCAUCGAACCGAUGGGAAAAACAUACCGCACAACUCCUCUCUAGAUCGAGGUACUCCCUCGAUCUAUUUCCUAGGCGUGAACGCCGCCGCUGCCACCUCGAAAUCCUCCGCCACCAAAUGUCGCUGCUCCUCCGUUGCUUAGGACCGACGCAGCUUCGAAGACUGCCACCGCCAUCGCCAAACCCCAUAUCAGGGCAGGACCCAUGGGAGGGUGUGGUUUGUGGGACGCCACCGCCCCCGUCGUUGCGGAACCAUAUGGCAGGGCAUAGUGUUGCGAGAGCAACGCGAGGCCAUGCUGGCCAAUUGCUACAUCAAGGAGGAACACAUGUAUUUACAUCUGACACUAAUACUAUGAGGAAGGCGGCUUGGAAUCCUCCAUCCUAACUCAAUAUGAUCGUCUCUUCUCUGAUCUAUUUGUGUAUUCAACUGUCUCUGCUCUGAUCCCGACUCACGCUAGAUACAAUGGGAUUGCAACAUGAUUUGGCUUCUUAUCUACUGGUAUUAGCAAUGCGAAUCUCUUCUGGAUGCCAUUUAAUGACAACCGGAUUUCUCACAUGUUAUGAGUUUAAUCCAUUAAAAUUUGAAUUUCAUCAUUGUCAAUAUAGUUGGAUGAUGCCAUGGUGAUAUCUUCAAUUUUUACAGAGGAGCGGCAGAGGGGAUCCGUUAGCCGGCGGAGGCGAUUUCGUCUAGCUGCUUGGUUCUGUCAUGCAGCUCCUGCGCCAAGUACCUGAGUACUCUUCAUGCCUAUGGUCACCACGGCCGGAGCUCGUCCUCACAUGCCCGUCAACCAUCUGCAGCUCCUUCCACCUGUCGCCCGAAGGUGAAAUUGCCCUGCUGCCCCGUGCCUCUCCUCUCAUGCAUGAAGCCGUUGCAUAUGCAAAUGCAGGUGAUGUGCACAUAUUUGUAUGCAUGUAUGUAGCCAUGAUUGAAAAUUCAGUUUAUAUAACGUGUGUCUUCAAAGAAUUUGGUAGUUUCGGCACCAUGUUUGUUUGGUCGAAUGCAUCAUCUCAAACAUAAGUAGAACAUGGACAAUUGUGAGACAGACCUGAUUGAUACAUGGUCUGAUACAUGGACCAUCAAACCAUAGAACUGGAUAGUUUUCUUCACUAAUUAUACCAAUUAGCUAGCAACUUACCUUUGAGUUCUUUGCAAACUACUGUAGUAGUAAGAUACAGCCGAGUUUGAAUAUUUAUUGGUAGAAUGUGCAGGUUUAUCAUUGCUGAUAUUGUUAGGUACGUCCAUGGUUUAAUGAAGCUUUACGGUUCGUAUGUACUCAAUUAUUUGUGGUUAAUCUCGACAGCAAACAUUCUAAGCUACCUUUUUGGCAGUAAAUUAGUGAACUAAGAAAUGAAGACUUUCUCCAAAAGUAGUAUUGACAUUGAAUGUGCAGAUAAUUCCGGUAACUUCUCAAACAAGUCCACAAUAUCAUUCACCCCGUAGAUGGCUGGAGAAAGCAGAGAGUGCCAACGACAACCUCAUACAAAUGCAGCAGAACAAGGUGAUGAAUUCUCCCAUGUUUCCUAACCUGAAUCUUUGCUCGAAUCGCUUGAUUGUUAGUUCCAGUUUGCUGUUACAGUCCAAGGAUUCCUAAUCUGAAUCUUUGCUCGAAUCGCAAAAUUGUGUCAAACCUGAGAAUUUAAUUACUUAGAUACAUGUUUUGGCACUUGAUUUUGCUUUCCAUCGUAUACCUUCUCUGAAGGUUAUACAUCGGGUUGAUGCACACGCAUACCAUGUGCAUUUCUGGCUCUAUCCCAAGUUAAACCCCAAGUCCGUUAGGCUCAUUAGAAAUUAAGGACGCAUAUCAGAAGAUCAAUUCAUUAUUGUUGUAGAAAGAAGACAAUAUAGUUGACUGACUUUUUCUACUGUUAUCAUUUGUUUGUGUUACAUGUAAACCAUUUUGUUUUGGCACAUCACAUGUUGUUAGUUUCCGUCCACUUACCCUGUACCAAGACACCACAUUCUCAGAAUGUAUUCUGAUGUUACAGAAAUAACUUGAGAUCUGUUCAAAUUUUAAUAUUAUCACUGUUCUCAUCUUAUAGUGCUAUUGAUUUGUAAUUUUGCAUAUUCUGUUGGGAAAGUCAAUUUGGCUCCCUGGGCCCAAAAAAAAUUUAAAAUGAGAAAAAAAUCAAGACAAUUUUUUGUGUACUUAGUCACAUCCAAAUGCUACCUAAAAUUUUUGAGACAAGAACAUUAAACAUUUUCACUUGUGCAAAAAAAAAACAAAAAACAAAUCAAACACCAAAAGUUACCCCAAAAUGUCACCCCAAAUUUAUUUAUUUUUGCCGAUGAAACAUCGCAGCUCGGUUUCGCAUGAAAGUUCUCAUGCAUGCUUGCGACACUAAUACAAUCAUGUACAAAAAAAAUCAGAAUUUUUUGAAAACAUUUAAUUUUUUUUCGCAUUAUUGUUCCCCCGGGAGCAUAUGCUCCCGGGAGCCAAAAUACCAGCCCUGUUGUUUCCUAAGUAAUUUUGUAUCUAUCAAAGUAUUACAUUAUUGAUGUUCUCAUUGGACAAAGAAUUCUGUUUUGGUGAGUAUCCUCGGCGGUUAGAGCCAAAUGUUAUCUUAUAGUGCCUUGCUGUAGACAUAAAUGACUAACGACUCCAGCCUACAUCUAGAGUAUUAAGUUCAUAAGAACAGAGUAACGCAUUAAGCAAGAUGACAUGAUGUAGAAGGAUAAACUCAAGCAAUAUGAUAUAAACCCCAUCUUGUUAUCCUUGAUGGCAACAAUACAAUACGUGUCUUGCAACCCUUUCUGUCACUGGGUAAGAACACCGCAAGAUUGAACCCAAAGCUAAGCACUUCUCCCAUGGCAAGAAAGAUCCAUCUAGUAGGCCAAACCAAUCUGAUAAUUCGAAGAGACUUGCAAAGAUAACUCAAUCAUACAUAAAAGAAUUCAGAGAAGAUUCAAUUAUUAUUCAUAGAUAAACUUGAUCAUAAACCCACAAUUCAUCGGAUCUCGACAAACACACCGCAAAAAGAGAUUACAUCAAAUAGAUCUCCACAAGAGAGGGGGAGAACAUUGUAUUGAGAUCCAAAAAGAGAGAAGAAGCCAUCUAGCUAAUAACUAUGGACCCAUAGGUCUGUGGUAAACUACUCACAACUCAUCGGAGAGGCAAGGAUGUUGAUGUAGAAGCCCUUCGUGGUCGACUCCCCUCCGGCAGAGUGCCGGCGAAGGCUCCAAGAUGGGAUCUCGCGGAUACAGAAGGUUACGGUGGUGGAAAUUGUGUUUCAGGUGCCUCCUGGAUGUUUUCCGUGUUGGAAUAACCACGACGUGCAUGGCACUGUGUCCGGCUCGUACACAGAAACAGUCACCGGGUAGGAGACCGAGUAGGUUAGCUUCUAGUCUAUCUUGAGCAUAUUUAUAUGCGUGUACCCCUACCCCUUGUACUAUCGAUUUGUGAAAGUAAUACAGAUCCAAACAGGCACGAUACGUGCCUGUGGCAAAACGCCGGCGUCUUCCGUGUGCGUACGUAUUGUGCAUCAGCUAGGAUAGAUCAAGUCGAUAGCUAGCUAGCUUACUGCUAGUACUAGUAUACGUACUAUCAAAGAAUCGAUCAGGACAACUUGGUGCUAGCUUUGCACUGCGUUGCAUCCGGCUAGAAGUAGCUUUGUUCGUCGUUCGUCAUCGUUGGUCAUCGCCUAUCGCCGGAAAGUAUUCGGCGACGUGGUCUGGGCCAACAAUUGGUAUCAGAGCAAGGUUGAUCUUCUAGUAACGGAGGAUCAUGGCGGACGACGAGAAGACCAAGCAGCUGGUGGAGUACUCCGGUGCGGCUAAAGUAAUUGCUGCUCCGGCGAGUUCAUCAUAUCCACGGUUUGAUCGCUAGAACUUCGGAGUCUGGAAGGCCCUCAUGGAGUGUGGUCUCCGCGCCAACGAGCUAUGGGACGCGGUGGAUCCCGGAGGCGACGCGUUCAAGAAGGAGGGAGCCGAGCACCGGAAGGAUCGGCAGGCGGCGUCAGCGAUUUACUCGGUGAUGCCGAUGGAUGUCCUCUAGCACCUAAUCGCCAAAGCAACAGCGAAGGAGGUGUGGGAUACGCUGAAGCUCAUGUUCGAGGGACACACCCGUGUCAAGCAAGCCAAUCUCCAAACUCUCCUAAGGAACUACGAGACUUUGGUGAUGGGCGAUGAUGAGUCCGUGGAUGCGUUCGCUUCACGGGUGGCUACUCUCGUCAAUCGGAUUCGGGGGCUUGGAGAGAACCUGACGGAGGCCUCGGUUGUCCGGCGGUUCUUGCGUGCGGCCCCUCCCCGGUACCUGCAAAUUGUCACGGCAAUCGAGCAGUGCGUCGAUCUCGCAACUCUCUCCAUCGACGAUCUUGUCGGACGGUACAAGGCUCAUGAUGAGCGGAUGCGGUACAGUCUUGGGGACGGGAGGAACGACGAGUUUGUGAUGCUCACAAAGGCGCAAUGGAUCGCCCUCGAAAAGCAAGGCGGAUCCACGAGCAGCAGCAAGAAGAAGGGAAAGCAGCGUUCUGCGAGAAAGAACUUCGCCGACUCGGACAACGACUCAGACAAUGAGGCUGCACCACCACCGAGGAGAAAGUUUGACAUCAGGAAAGUGAGGUGUUAUAACUGUGGACUCCUCGGCCACUUCAAGGCUGACUGCGAGGAAGUACCGAAGCAGAAGGCGCUCAUGGCCCAACAAGGAGAUGAUGGUGACAUGAUGUUGAUGAGCGAACUCGUGAACGAGGAGGAUCCAGACUCACAAGUGUUGACUAAAGAAAUUGUCGAGCUUGUGGAAGAAAAAGUUUGCCAUCAAUAUUAUGGUUCAGAAACUCGUGUCGAAGCUACAGAUGCAGGGGAUGAUUCCAAAAUUUAUGUCGAUGUUACAGGCAUAAGUGCCAACUUUGCUGGAGCGGAUGCAGCAAUAGCUGCGUGUGCUCGACCAUGGAGAAGUAAUCUUUGUGUUGUUCAGAGGUCCGUAGGUGGCCACAAAAAUAGCACUGGACAUGGUGUCUCGCUGAGUAGGCCGAAAGCACCGGCCGCAGGCACCAAAGCUGGAUCCCUUGUGCGGAGUAAGGGCGCUUCGCACCCAGCAGCGAGUGCUGCACAAGGAGCCUCCAAGACAGCUACGUGUGGUGGCCUAGCCACAAGAGAAGGCUCGCAUGGUGGGCUACAAACAAGUCCAGCAGGAGGGCUUGGUGGCUCACGUGGUGAGCUAGGGCCAUCUAUACCUAGUGACGUUGCAAGUGAUCCAGGACAUAUGCAAGGUCCAUUAACAGCGCAUGUACGUACAGUUUUGCCAUGCUUGGCCACUAUAAUGCAAGAAGAUGGGAACGGCAAGGUAACGUCCGUGCCCGGGGAUGAAAGUCUAGCUUUGCCAAAAGCAAUGUGCGAAGCAAACGGUGAGGAGUUACUCCUGAAGGUACAAGGAGCCAUGCAAAUAAUGUCGUCUCCGAAGGCACAAGAGACGAGGACAAUGCCACCUACACCUGUACUGCUACAACCGGUGUUACACCCAUAUUCGGAGAAGACUCUUCAGACGAUUGACCCGGCAAAAGUGAAAGGGAGUGGGCAAUGGUGUCUAGAAAGCACUGAGGAACCGGCGAAAUUUGUGGACGCAAAUAUGAAGGAGUGUCGGCGUCAGGCAAUGGAAGAGGAGUUGAGGUCGAUCCACGAUAACAAUGCAUGGGAGCUUGUGGAUCUUCCCAACAAUAAAAAAGUCAUGGAUCUCAAGUGGGAAUUUAAGAUCGAGAAAGAUGCCGGAGGGUUCGUGAAGCACAAAGCAAGGCUAGUAGCCAAAGAGUACGUGCAAGAGGAAGGUGUAGACUUCGAAGAAGUGUUCGUUCCCGUUGCAAAAAUGGAAUCGGUGAGACUACUCAUCGCUCUCGCGGUUCAGGAAUCAUGGAAGAUACAUCACAUGGAUGUACAACCCGCGUUUUUGAAUGGCGAGUUAGAAGGAGAUGUGUAUGUGAAUCGGCCACCGGGAUUCAUCAAAGAGGGAGAGGAACGCAAGGUAUUAAAGCUACGCAAAGUCUUGUACGGGCUACGGCAAGGCUCUCGGGCAUGGAGCAUCAAACUUGAACAGACGAUGAUUUCUCUUGGAUUUGAGAAAGCCCCACUAGAGCAUGCGAUGUACAAGAGAGGUGAAGGAAGGGAUCGUCUACUAGUUGGCAUCUAUGUCGACGGCCUAUUGAUAACUGGAGCAGAUGAAGAGGUGAUUGCAAAGUUCAAGCUACAGAUGAAGGAGCUUUUCAAGAUGGAUGAUCUAGGCUUUUUGAGUUGCAACCUCGGGACAGAGGUACAUCAAAAGCCAGAGGGGGUCACACUAUGCCAGGAGGCAUAUGCAAGGAAGGUACUUGAAAGCCCUGGCAUGAAAGAUUGCAAUCACAUUGUCACUUCAAUGGAACCUCGUCUUGAACCAAGCAAGAAGGAGAUGGUGAAACUACUCGGCUACAGUGGUAGUGACAAGGAAGGAAUUGUUGGCGGCCGUAAGUGUACCUCGGGCGUGGCAUAUUUCCUUGGUGGAAGCGUAGUAAGCUGGCUAUCACGAAGACAGAAAGUGGUGACAUCGACUUCAAGUGAAGCAGAGUGUCAAGGUGUGUGGCUAGGACGGCUACACAGUGAUCUCAUGGAUCGAGAUCCGGAGCAAGUGGUGCUCAACGUUGACAGUGAGUCUAUGUUUUUUCUACGCGAGGAUCCAGUGCGGCAUGACAGGAGCAGGCACAUUGAUACGAUGUAUCUUUACAUAAAGGAUUGCGUGGAAGAAGGGAUGACGAAGGUCAACUACGGUUGCACGGAUGAUCAGCUGGCGGACAUCCUAACCAAGGCUUGGGUCAGCAUCGAGCUGUGACAUGACGACGUCGUGUUUAGGGGGGUGAUUGUUGGAAUAACCACGACGUGCGUGGCACUGUGUCCGGCUCGUACACAGAAACAGUCACCGGGUAGGAGACCGAGUAGGUUAGCUUCUAGUCUAUCUUGAGCAUAUUUAUAUGCGUGUACCCCUACCCCUUGUACUAUCGAUUUGUGAAAGUAAUACAGAUCCAAACAGGCACGAUACGUGCCUGUGGCAAAACGCCGGCGUCUUCCGUGUGCGUACGUAUUGUGCAUCAGCUAGGAUAGAUCAAGUCGAUAGCUAGCUAGCUUACUGCUAGUACUAGUAUACGUCCUAUCAAAGAAUCGAUCAGGACAACUUGGUGCUAGCUUUGCACUGCGUUGCAUCCGGCUAGAAGUAGCUUUGUUCGUCGUUCGUCAUCGUUGGUCAUCGCCUAUCGCCGGAAAGUAUUCGGCGACGUGGUCUGGGCCAACAUUCCGGGUACGUAGGUAUAUAUAGGAGGAAGAAGUACGUCGGUGGUCACCCGAGGGGCCCACGAGACAGGGGGGCGCGCCCUACAGGGGGGCUCCUAUCUCGUCGAGGCCUCGGCUGCUUCUUGACUUGCACUCCAAGUCCUCUGGAUCACGUUCGUUCCAAAAAUCACGCUUCCGAAGGUUUCAUUCCGUUUGGACUCCGUUUGAUAUUCCUUUUCUUCGAAAUACUGAAAUAGGCAAAAAAACAGCAAUACGGGCUGGGCCUCCGGUUAGUAGGUUAGUCCCAAAAAUGAUAUAAAUGUGUAAAAUAAAGCCCAUAAACAUCCAAAAGGGGUAAUAUAAUAGCAUGGAACAAUCAAAAAUUAUAGAUACGUUGGAGACGUAUCAAGAAGCAAGAAGACCCGAAGAGGAAGGUAGGAAUAUCAGUGGAGAAUAUCAAGCGAGCAACGGAGAUCCGUCCGGAGGACUACAUCAUCCUAGACGACACCGACACGGAUAGUGAUGAAAGUGAUGACAGUGAAGACGACUACGUUGACGAAGCUGGAGCAGAUAUCAUGGAGUCUUCCUCUGAUGAAAAUUUCUAGAUGGCCACCAUUUUAACUAGUAGUAUUCCCUCCAAGUAGUUAGCAACGAUCGAGUUUGUAAUUAUAUAUUACACCGAUUGUGUGAUAUUGUGUGCUAUUGAUUGAAGUGAAUUGAUUGUGUUUGUCUCAUGAGCAUAUGGGUAGUGAAUUUCUCUUAGACCUCAUUUCUAGUCUGUUUUCUCACCCCCUCUAACCCAUCAGAUGCCUCCGAGACGUGACAAUGGAUUUUCUUUUCCAUCAGAGCUCACUCAGUUGGUCCAGCAGCAGAAUGCCUUGAUGCAGAUAGUAGUUCAGAGCCAGAACCAAGGCAACAACAACAACAAUCCACCACCACCACCCCCUGUUGACCACCUAGCCCGUUUUCUAAGGUUGAAUCCGCCGGUGUUCUCUAGUAGCACCGAGCCGAUUGUUGCAGAUGAUUGGCUCCGCAAGAUUGGAAGAGAGAUAACCUCUGCAGGACGCACGGAUGCGGAGAGAGUGCGUUUUGCCGCACACCAGCUUGAUGGACCCACAACAUCUUAGUGGGAGAAUUUGACCGCCACGUAACCCAUUGACACUAUUGAAUGGGAUCAGUUUCAGCAGGCUUUCCGCACUGCCCAUGUUUUAGCAGGAGCUAUGAGCAUGAAGAAGCGCAAGUUUCGCAAUACAGUGGGCCAGUAUGUGGAUGAGUUUAGCAAGUUAGCACGCUAUGCCCCUGAUGAUGUAGCCACAGAUGCCGCUAAGAAGGAGAAGUUUCUGGAGGGCCUCAACGAUGAGUUGAGUCUGCAGAUGAUGGUGGCAACUUUCAACAACUACCAGGAAUUGGUAGACAUGGCUCUCAUGAUUGAAGGCAAGCAGCAACAAAUUGAUAAUCACAAGAGGAAGUAUGGACGGGGGAGGUACACUUUAGGAGCUCAGCAGAAGCCCCGCUACUCCCGUACUCGGAAGGACAUACCCACAAGCAUGGAGGCCAUAACCAUGGAGGACAUAUGCACAAUGGAGCAAGUUCGCACAACCACAGUAGCCCCAAGAAUGGAAAUGGAAAUGGAGGAAGCAGCAGCCAGAACCAUUCCAACCCUUCAACGCUAGCCAAGAGGGAUCUGAGCCACAUUACUUGUUUCAAGUGCCAAAAGACCGGACAUUAUGCCACUGAAUGUCCUGAUGGAAAGAAUGGAAAUGGCAAUGGAGGUUCCGCAAAGAAGCCCAACCCUUUCACCAAAGGACAGGUGAACCACGUUAGCGUGGAGGAGAUUGAGGAUCAACCCGACGCAGUUGUCGGUAAGUUUUUGAUCAAUGCAUUUACCGCACUUGUUCUUUUUGAUACUGGUGCAUUGCAUUCAUACAUAUCAAAGGGAUUUGUGGAUAAGUAUAAACUGCCAACCGUAGCCCUUAAGUCACCUAUGUUAGUAAGUUCCCCAGGAGCGGAGUAUAUGGCUAGUAGGGGAUGUUAUCAGUUGCCACUAACCAUAGGUAGACAUGUUUUCCCCACCGACCUGAUUAUUCUGGAGUCACAAGGAUUGGAUGUGAUACUAGGAAUGGAUUGGCUACCCAAGUUUGAAGGGAACAUCGAUUGCGCCAGUAAAUCAAUUCUUCUCACCACCCCAGAAGGAAAGAGGAUCAAGUAUGUAUCCCGGCAUGCGCCGAGAAGGACUCAGGUGAAUUCCUUAUCAGGAGUUGUACAGGAGGAAGUACCAGUGGUGAAGGAUUAUCCCGCGUAUUUCCAGAAGAGUUACUAGGCAUGCCACUGGAUCGAGACAUUGAGUUUUUAAUUGAACUAUUGCCAGGCACCAAACCUAUAUCAAGGAGACCAUAUCAGAUGUCCGCAAAGGAUCUGGAGGAAAUUAAGACGCGGAUAAAGGAGUUACUGGAGAAAGGUAACAUUCGACCAAGUUCAUCACCUUGGGGAGCCCCAGUGCUUCUAGUGGAGAAGAAGGAUGGAUCGUUGAGGAAGGUUGUUGAUUAUCUUGUGCUGAAUGAGGUGACAAUCAAGAACAAGUACCCUCUGCCGAUGAUCAAUGAUUUGUUUGACCAGUUGCAAGGAGCUAAAGUUUUCUCCAAGAUCGAUCUUUGAUCAGGUUAUCACCUGUUGAAGAUCCGAGAGCAGGAUAUACCUAAAGACAGCUUUUACCACAAGGUACGGGCUAUAUGAGUAUACCGUUAUGUCAUUUGGUUUGACUAACGUGCUUGCCUAUUUCAUGAAUAUGAUGAACAAAGUGUUUAUGUAGUUUUUGGAUAAGUUCGUCGUGGUGUUCAUUGAUGAUAUAUUGGUCUAAUCGAAGAAUGAAGAAGAGCAUAAGGAGCAUUUGCGUUUGGUUCUUGAGAAGCUCAGGGAACAUCAGUUGUAUGCCAAGUUCAACAAAUGUGAGUUUUGGUUAAAGGAAGUUGGAUUUCUCGGACAUGUUAUAUCCGGAGAAGGAAUAGCAGUAGACCCUACCAAGGUUGCUUUUGUCACUAAAUUGUUGGCACCCACAUCAGUUGGAGAGAUCAUAACUUUUCUUGGACUCGCAGGUUAUUAUUGGAGGUUUAUUGAGAAUUUAUCCAAGAUGGCAAAGCCCAUGACGAAGUUAUUGAAGAAGGACACCAAGUUUAAAUGGACAUAGGACUGUGAGGCCAGUUUUCAAGAGUUGAAGAAACGUUUGGUUACAACCCCAGUGCUGAUUCUCCCAGAGCAAUGUAAGGAUUACCAAGUAUAUUGUGAUGCUUCACGUCGAGCACUUGGAGGUGUGCUUAUGCAGGAAGGAAGAGUUAUUUCAUAUGCCUCACGACAGCUUCAACCUCAUGAAUUGAAUUAUGCUACGCAUGAUUUGGAGUUAGCAACCGUAGUGCAUUCACUGAAGACAUGGAGACAUUUUCUCAUCAGAAACCAUUGUGAUGUAUACACGGAUCAUAAGAGUUUGAAAUACAUCUUCACGCAGAAGGAGUUGAACCUCAGGCAAAGGAGAUGGUUGGAGCCCAUUAAAGAUUAUGAUAUGAAAUUGCACUAUCAUCCAGGAAAGGCCAAUGUCGUAGCAGAUGCGUUGAGCCGCAAGGGUUAUGUUAACAUGCUCAUAACCGGAGGAUUACCUAAGGAGUUAGCAGAUGAUCUUCGAGAGCUAUGCUUGGAGAUAGUUCUGAUAGGUUAUGUCGCAGCAUUGGAAAUUCAGUCCACUUUAUUGGGAAAGAUAAGAGAAGCCCAGAAGACUGAUAAGGAGAUUGCCGAGAUAAAGGAAAUGAUGAGUAAAGGAAAGGCUAAAGGAUUUCAUGAGGAUGAGAAUGUCACCUUAUGGAUUGAGGAUCGCAUAUAUGUGCCUAAUGACCCCAAGAUCAGGAAGUUGAUUCUGCAAGAGGCCCAUGAUUCACCCUACUCGAUUCACCCAGGCAACACUAAGAUGUAUCUGGAUUUGAAGGAAAGUUUUUGGUGGACAGGAAUGAAGAAGGAUAUUGUCGAUUACGUAGCAGCAUGUUAUGUAUGUCAGAGAGUUAAGUCGGAACAUCAGAAGCCGGCAGGAUUGCUACAGCCAUUGCCGAUGCCCGAAUGGAAGUGGGAUAAACUUGGCAUGGAUUUUAUCACUCGAUUACCCAGGACUUGUUCAGGCUAUGACUCUAUCUGAGUUGUAGUCGAUUGUUUGACGAAAGUAGCUCAUUUCAUCCUGGUGAAGACAACCUAUAAGAGUGCUAAGUUGGCAAAGAUAUACAUGACCAUGAUCGUAUGUCUACACGGAGUUCCGAGGACCAUUGUAUCAGAUAGAGGAACCCAAUUUACUUCAAAGUUUUGGAAUCAGUUGCAUGAAACUUUGGGUACCAGGCUAGAGUUUAGUACAGCCUUUCAUCCAUAGAUGGAUGUACAAACCGAGAGAGUCAAUCAGAUUCUGGAAGACAUGUUGAGGGCUUGUGCGUUAGAUUAUGGAUCUAGUUGGGAUGACAAUCUUCCAUAUGCAGAGUUCUCCUAUAACAACAGUUAUCAAGCCAGUUUGAAGAUGGCCCCUUUUGAAGCUUUGUAUGGAAGGAGAUGCAGGACACCGUUAUCAUGGGAUGAAGUUGGGGAUCGACAGUUGUUCGGACCAGACUUCAUCAAAGACUCUGAAGAGAAGGUUAAGUUGAUUCGCGACAGACUUAAGGUAGCCCAGUCCAGGCAGAAGAGUUAUGCAGAUACUCAACGAAAGGAGAUAGUUUACAAAGUCGGAGACAGAGCAUAUCUUCGUGUGUCCCCACUUCGAGGAGUGGAACGUUUUGGAGUCAAAGGAAAGCUAGCACCACGUUUUGUGUGACCAUACCGAAUUUUGGAACGUAUGGGAGAAGUUGCAUACAAGAUGGAAUUACUAGAAGUAUUGUCAGGAGUUCAUGAUGUGUUUCACGCUUCCCAAUUGAAGAAGUGCCAUGCAGAGAUGGCCGAUAUUCCUCUGAGAGAUACAAUGCCAUUGGAAGCAAUUCAGUUAGACAGUGAUUUUACCUAUGAAGAGAAGCCAGUCAAGAUUCUCGAGUUUUCCAGUCGAGUUACUCGCAGCAAGGUUAUCAAGUUUUGCAAAGUUCAGUGGAGCCACCAUACCUAGGAGGAAGCCACCUGGGAGCGAGAAGAAGAUCUUCGCAAAGACCACCCAAACCUUUUUGCUGACCAACCCGAAUCUCAAAGGCAAGAUUGAUUUUAAGGGGGUAGGUUUGUAACAUCCCAAAUUUCAAUUUGGAUGUUAUACAUAGAUCAUCAUAGGCAUAUCAUUUUAUUCUUGCAUUUUGUUGUGAUCCUGGAAAUCUUAAGCAACUCAAGGACCCAGGGAGAGAGUUGGAGGUUUCACAAAAUUCAUAUUUGGAUUUACUUUAAAUUUGAAGAAAGGAUCAAUUUGAUUUUAUUAUUUUCUCUCAAAUUAUUCCCAAUAUUAAAAAUAUAUGAGAGAAGAUAAUAUGACUUCUUCAACCUAAAAGAAAUAUUGGAGAAAUAAUUUUAAAAUCAAAUUAUGAUUUUAUUGGUAUUUUAUUUGAAUUAAAAAAUAUCGCACUUUUGAAAACUGCAUCUUAGUCCAGAAAAAUGUUUAUCUUGUCCUAAAUAUUAGGUUUGGACGGCGAAAAUUGUUUCUGGAAUUUUUAGAGUUUUUUCAUAUUUAUUUAGGAUUUUUCCUUGCGGCAACUUUUUUUUUAAAAAGUUUUGGACCGACUGGGCUGAAGCCCAGCCGGCCCAGCGCCCGACCGCCUCGUCCCCAAGCGCGGGACGAAUCCCGCCGUCACACGCUGCCNNNNNNNNNNNNNNNNNNNNNNNNNNNNNNNNNNNNNNNNNNNNNNNNNNNNNNNNNNNNNNNNNNNNNNNNNNNNNNNNNNNNNNNNNNNNNNNNNNNNNNNNNNNNNNNNNNNNNNNNNNNNNNNNNNNNNNNNNNNNNNNNNNNNNNNNNNNNNNNNNNNNNNNNNNNNNNNNNNNNNNNNNNNNNNNNNNNNNNNNNNNNNNNNNNNNNNNNNNNNNNNNNNNNNNNNNNNNNNNNNNNNNNNNNNNNNNNNCAGCCGCUACCGAGCGCCACCACCGCCGAGGCCUUCCGGCGUCGCCCCGAGCUGCUGCCGGCGCUGCACACCCCGCCGCCCCUCGCCACCCCGCCUCCCGACGCCCGCGCCGUCACCCGCCGUCGUUGCCGUCGACGAUGAACCGGUAUGAACCGGUUUAUUUUUCUUCGAAUUUUCUUUGGUUCGGUUUAGUUAGAUCGGUUUUUUAGGGUUUAUUUAUUUAACGAACGUUCGUUCGUUCGUUCGUUUUAACGAACGGUUUUCAUCGUAUAAGUUCUGUUGGCGAAUGUUCGUACCAUAGUAUUUUUCUUUUUAUUUUAUUUUUCAGCCAGGGACCUAUCCGUGAAUAGUUUUCUCGUGAUUUAGCCCCUGAUUUUUAAACUAGCAUAACUUUUUACUCGUUUAUCCAAAUUAGAUGAAACCAUCGCCUAAAUCUUCGUAUCGUUAUGUUCCUUCUAGUUAACCAACCUAAAUAUGAUUUUUGUACUGUAAAAUUUGAGUUUAGUCCAGAUUAGUAAAUGAUUUUGUUUCGUUCGUAUCUAGAGUAUCGUUUCUCCGUUUGAGUUGUGUCUUUUUGCAAAUCGUAGCUAAUCACAUGUACCUACUGUUAAGAUCGAAUCCACGUGAUAAUAUUGCUGUUAGGUUUUAAUUUUGUUAGUUUAAGCCGUUUGCUUGUUUCGUGUUUGAUUUGGAUCUUUUCUCGGUUUUCUCGUUGCUUCGUUUGAGUGAUUGCUUAUGCAUGCUACUGUUUGUCUACGCUAGAUUACCAGGAGUGCGAAGCUUGUUACUAUGAAUCUCUAGAGUUUGCAGAUCGUCAGCAAGGCAAGUUACACUUUGAUCGUACUCUUUUAUACCUAGUUUUUACUAUGCAUUAGUAUCACUCCUCAAACAAUUUCGUGAGUAGGAUUGGGAACAUGUGGUUUGGUUGUAGUACUUGAGGUAGGAACCUAAUACCUUUUCAUCACCCCAAGAAUAUACGUUAUGCUUAUUAUUGCUUAGCCAUGCUCGUAGACGGGGAUUGGAUCGUGAUUCACACAUGGAAGUUUGAGAGUUAUUUUAAUCAUGGUUAACAUUAAGGUGGCUACUUUAAGACACAUCUGGGUGGAUUGGUUGCAGGCACCUAGGUAAUUCAGUGUUGUCCUAGGAGAUCUCAGAGUACCCGUGUGAUCAUCCUAUGGAAUGCCACCCAGGCUCAAAGGGAUCAUAAGAUUAUUCAUGCUAGAAACUUCCGUGUGCAGCCACAAGCCAUUAUGGGCUCUGGCAUAGUUGAGUAAGUUGCGUGAGCUCUUGAAGAGGUGGACUAGCAGAUGUAGGGGAAAGUAGGUGUACUAGUCUGCCCGGAGUAAAGAGUAAGUGCUUCAGAAAGACUAUGUCUCGAUCAUCCGAUCAUGGAUGCGGUCGAGUCUUAUGGGGAAAAGUGCGCAAACCUCUGCAAAGUGUAUAAACUAAUCAUGAUUAGCCGUGUCCCCGGUUAAGGACAUCUUCAGUAUCUAGUACUUGAAUCUAUUGAUGUGAUCUCAUCACGUUACUUUAAGUAAUUUGAUUUGGUUAAUGAUGAUACUUUUAAUUGGUAUUUGAGUUGGGGUUCCAUCUCUGAUGCUUUGAACUUGCCAUUGAUUGAACACCCAGAACCAUACGAGCUUUGGUGGAAGGACAAGUUUUAUCGAGAUCAUGCAUCGCGUCAAAGUACGUUUCACUUUAUGCGGAUAUGGUGAUCCAGUCGUGUAUUUUGUAUAAAGUUUCUAUGUGAAAGUCAUACUUGGCUUGAGGUGUGUCGAUUCCGACGGCUUGUGUGUUGGUUACGUUUACUUCGAUGGGAUGUUCUUCGUGUGUCGAGGGAUUAUCCAUGGGUUGUCGUUACCCUAUCUUCAGGUUACGUGUACUCCUCGUGUAAUUGGGAGAUUUUUUUAGCUGAAUGCGGAGGAGUUCAUUCUAUCGUGAAAGAUCAGGCCAAAUCAGUAGCACGAUGAGGUUCUGCUUUCGUCUAUUGGUAUUCAACGCACAGGUUGUUCAUGGUACAAUUUUUUUCUUCCACUCACGAUUGAUAUUUUUAUUUAUCAUGAAGAAAGAUUGUAGUUCGCAAAUGGUGAUGGCGAUGGAGAAGGAUCCAUUGCAUGCCUUGCCUUUGUACCAAUGGUUUACGCGUUUGCGCGUCGGACUAGCUAAUAGUGCCACGUUGAUGAAUUGUUGUUCUAGUAUGAAUUUGGUGACUAAGCUUGUAGUUCGUGCUUUGAACUUGCCGUUGCUUGAACAGCCAGAACCAUACGAGCUUUGGUAGAAGGACAAGUUUAAUCGAGAUCAUGCAUCGCGUGGAAGUAUGUUUCACUUUAUGCAGAUAUGGUGAUCUAGUCGUGUGUGAUGUGCUUCCUAUGCAUAUGCAUGUGUGUUCUAUAAUAUUGGGAAAACCAUGGACGGACAUGACAUAAUUAACUUAUCAUUAUGAUGUAGAAUUUUAUUUUUUACGAAAGAGGCAACUUAUACCACAUGACUCCUAUACCCUGGAGCCGUACAUGGCAGAUCGGCAACGGCGUGAUCAUGCUCAAGAAGCAAUUGAUUUGAAGGUACUCAAUGACCAAGAGGAAGCAGACGUGGGCAUUCAACAUGCCGAAUUCUUGGCCUCGACAGUUUCUGUGGAUGCAUAUGUGAGAAGAUAGACUUGAAACUUAGCAUGGUUUCGUUUCAAGGGGGAGAGGAUGAUGUGGCCAACACUAGUUCUAUAUGUACCGUCGACCACCAUGACAUACAAGACGUUGGUCUGAUUCAAGUUACGGAAGUUUCGCCCGUCACUGUAAGAGAUAACGUGAGGUGUCUUGGUCAGGAGAAAAUGAAGGUUGAAUUAUAAUCACUAUUUGGUGAUGUGCCAAAAUAGGCAACGCAUGCUUGGAUAUUAGGAAAGGAAGAAAAUAAUUCCAACACAUACUCGUUUGAUCAAGGCAUGCGUCAACUUGGUUGUUUCUUUUGGUUGCCACGUCCAGAACAAGAGUAUACAUGGACAUGAUACCUUUUAAUUUAUACUAAUGGAAGAAUCCAAAUGGGUUACUACUUCUCACGAUCAAGGCCACCGGAGAUAUAUGUGUACUGGAGCAGGUUUAAAUGGUGGGAUAUGCUGUCCUUGAGAAAAACUAGCAAAAGGGACCGUGCGUUGCAACGGAAGAAAAGAAUACCACAUGCUCUUAAUUCACAAAAAAUGAUCUAUAAUCUAAGUAUUUGUAGCUACAUCCCCCAAACAAAGAUGGUCUUUGCCUACAAAAAUGCAAGUUCAAGAUUCUACUUGUCUUCUAUUUAAACACGGCUUGCAUGUAGAUUUAAUACAUGCAAAGAAACGGGUAAGUGAUCCUCAAUUUCGUCUACAAUCCCGAUUUUGCUGAGAUGUUCAUCCACAAUCUGGAUCAGCACCGAUAUGAAAGAAAGAUGUAUAAUGCACUGUUGAUUAAGACUGCAUUCUAGAUAAUAUUUUUAAAAUUGGUAACAGGUAAAAUAACAUCAUAUUUAGAUUCUAUAUAGUUUUCUAAUCAAAUUUCUUAUACAACAUGUUAAAUAUGGAGUUACGGUUUAAACUAUAUGAGUGUUUUAAAAUAUUUGAUACGUACUGCGGGUCUAUGUCAGAAGGGGGUUUUCUAUAAAAUAGCAUGACGGACUAAGAAUAUCUAUUUCCUUUACUACUAGGUAUGGAUUGGAUGGGAGUUCAAAAAAAAGGUAUAGAUUGGAUGGGGGCAGCCAUGAAAUUGAGUUUAAUUACUAUAAGUAUUGAAAUUGUAAUGAUUACUUGCUAAGUUAAAGCUUGUAAUCAGAUUUACUUCCUUCAGUGUUGGUCGAGAGUUAGAGAUAAAGAAGUUUUUGUUUGGUCAACUUAUCCGGCAAGUUUGAGUCAGGCUAGCUGUACGGGUAUAUAUAGUCAUGGUACGCUCUUUGUAAAAGCAGUUUAUAUUUUGGAGUUUAGACAGCUUCGCGGGUGUCGCUGUUAUUUAUUUUGUAUAAAGUUUCUGUGUGUAAGUCAUACUUCGCUCGAGGUGUGUUGUUUCCGACGACUUGUGUGUUGGUUACGUCUACUUCGACGGGAGGUUCUUCGUGUGUCGAGGGAUUAUCCAUGGGUUGUCGUUACCCUAUCUUCAGGUUACGUGUACUGCUCGCGUAAUUGGGAGAUUUUAUCAGCUGAAUGCGGAGGAGUACAUUCUACCGUGGAAGAUCGGGCCAAAUCAGUAGCACAAUGAGGUUAUGCUUUCGUCAGUUGGUAUUCAGAGCAUAGGUUGUUCACGGUACAAUAGUUUUCUUCCUGUUACGAUUGAUAUUUUUAUUUAUCAUGAAGAAAGAUUGUAGUUUGCAAAUAGUGAUGGCGAUGGAGAAGGAUCCAUUGCGUGCCUUUCCUUGAUACCAAUGCUUUACGCUUUGCGCAUCGGACCAGCUAAUAGUGCCACGUUGACGAAUUGCUGUUCCAGUAUGGAUUUGGUGACUAAGACUGUAGUUCGUGCUUUGAACUUGCCAUUGAUUGAACAUCCGGAACCGAACGAGCUUUGGUGGAAGGACAAGUUUUAUCGCGAUCAUGCAUCGCAUGGAAGUAUGUUUCACUUUAUGCAGAUAUGGUGAUCUAGUCAUCUAUGAUGUUCUUCCUAUGCAUAUGCAUGUGUCUUCUAUAAUGAUGGGAAAACCAUGGACGGGCAAGAUACAAUUAAGUUAUCAUUAUGAUGGUGAAUUUUGUUUUUUACAAAAGGGGCAACUUAUACCACAUGACUCCUAUACCCUGGAGCCGUACAUGGCAGAUCGGCAAAGGCGUGAUCCUGCUCAGGAAGCAAUUGAUUUGAAGGUACUGAAUGACCAAGAGGAAGCAGGCGUGGGCAUUCAACAUGCCGAAUUCUUGGCCUUGACAGUGUCUGCAGAUGCAUAUGCUGAGAAGAUAGACUUGAAACUUAGGACGGUUUCGUUUAAAGGGGGAGAGGAGGAUGUGGCCAACACUAGUUCUAUUUGUACCGUCGGCCACCAUGACAUACAAGCCGUUGGUCUGAUUCAAGUUACGGAAGUUUCACUCGUCACUGUAAGCGAUAACGUGAGGUGUCUUGUUCAGGAGAAAAUGAAGGUUGAAUUAGAAUCACUAUUUGGUGAUAUGCCAAAAUAAGCAAUGCAUGCUUGGAUAUUAGAAAAGGAAGAAAAUAAUUCCAACACAUACACGUUUGAUCAAGGCAUGCGUCAACUUGGUUGUUUCUUUUGGUUGCCACGUCCAGAACAAGAGUAUACAUAGACAUGAUACCUUUUAAUUGAUACUAAUGGAAGAAUCCUAAUUGGUUACUACUUCUCACGAUCAAGGCCACCGGAGAUAUAUGUGUACUGGAGCAGGUUUAAAUGGUGGGAUAUGUUGUCCUUGAGAAACACUAGCAAAAGGGACCGUGCGUUGCAAUGAGAGAAGAAAAUACCACAUGCUAUUAAUUUACAAAAAAUGAUCUAUAAUCUGAUUAUUUGUAGCUACGUCCCCCAAACAAAGAUGGUCUUUGCCUACAAAAAUGCAAGUUCAAGAUUCUACUUGUCUUCUAUUUAAACACGGCUUGCAUGUAGAUUUAAUACAUGCAAUGAAACGGGGUAAGCGAUCCUCAAUUUCAUCUCCAAUCCCGAUUUUGCUAAGAUAUUCAUCCACAAUCUGGAUCAGCAUCGAUAUGAAAGAAAGAUGUAUAAUGCACUGUUGAUAAAGACUGCAUUCUAGAUAAUAUUUUUUAAAUUAAUAACAGGUAAAAUAACAUCAUAUUUAGAUUCUAUAUAUUUUUCUAAUCAAAUUUCUUAUAUAACAUGUAAAAUUUGGAGUUACGGUUUGAAAGAUAAGAGUGUUUUCAAAAAUUUGAUAUGAGCACAGGUUGUUCACGGUACAAUUGUUUUCUUCCAGUUACGAUUGAUAUUUUUAUUUAUCAUGAAGAAAGAUUGUAGUUUGCAAAUGGUGAUGGCUAUGGAGAAGGAUCCAUUGCGUGCCUUGCCUUGGUACCAAUGCUUUACGCGUUUGCGCGUCGGACCAGCUAAUAGUGCCACGUUGAUGAAUUGUUGUUCCAUUAUGAGUUUGGUGACUAAGACUGUAGUUCAUGCUUUGAACUUGCCGUUGAUUGAACAUCCAGAACCAUACGAGCUUUGGUGGGAGGACAAGUUUUAUCGAGAUCAUGCAUCGCGUGGAAGUAUGUUUCACUUUAUGCACAUAUGGUGAUCUAGUUGUCUGUGAUGUGCUUCCUAUGCAUAUGCAUGUGUGUUCUAUAAUGUUGGGAAAACCAAGGAUGAGCAAGAUACAAUUAACUUAUCAUUAUGAUGGUGAAUUUUCUUUUUUUACGACGGGGCUACUUAUACCACAUGACUCCUAUACCCUGGAGCCGUACAUGGCAGAUCAGGAAAGGCGUGAUCCCGCUCAAGAAGCAAUUGAUUUGAUGGUACUCAAUGACAAGGAGGAAGCAGAUGUGGGCAUUCAACAUGCCGAGUUCUUGGCCUCGACAGUUUCUGCAGAUGCAUAUGCUGAGAAGAUAGACUUGAAACUUAGGACGGUUUCGUUUCAAGGGGGUGAGGAGGAUGUGGCCAACACUUGUUCUAUUUGUACCGUCGAUACCGUCGACUACCAUGACAUACAAGACGUUGGUCUGAUUCAAGUUAAGGUAGUUUCGCUCGUCACUGUAAGCGAUAACGUGAGGUGUCUUGGUCAGGAGAGAAAAUGAAGGUUGAAUUAGAAUUACUAUUUGGUGAUGUGCCAAAAUACGGAAUGCAUGCUUGGAUAUUAGAAAAGGAAGAAAAUAACGAUAAUUCAUCCUGGAGCCCGGGCUCAUCUGCUCCCGCUCAGGAAAAAAUUCAAAAAAAAUACUAGAAAAAUUCAAAACAUUCCAAUUUUUUUUGGUGGUAUAUAAUUUGACGCGUGAGGUGCGCCCCAAAAUUCAACUUAUUUGGACAUCUGAGUAGCUCUCGGCAAAAAAAACAAAUCGGGUCAAAACAGUGCGUGAACAUUAUACAUUUUUACAGACCCUGAUUUUGUCUUUUUUGCCAAGAGCUGCUCAGGUGCUCAAAUGAGUUGAAUUUUGGGACGCACCUCACGCGUCAAAUUUUUCUAGUAUUUUUUUGAAUUUUUUAUUGAGCGUGAGUGCAGAUGAGCCCGGGAGCCAAAACUCCGUGUCCAGAAAAUAAUUCCAACACAUACACUUUUAUCAAGGCAUGCGUCAACUUGGUUGUUUCUUUUGGUUACCACGUCCAGAACAAGAGUAGAUACCUUUUGAUUGAGACUAAUGGAAGAAUCCUAAUUGGUUACUACUUCUCACAAUCAAGGCCACCGGAGAUAUAUGUGUACAUGAGCAGGUUUAAAUGGUGGGAUAUGCUGUCCUUGAGAAAAACUAGCAAAAGGGACUGUGCGUUGCAACGGAAGAAAAGAAUACCACAUGCUCUUAAUUCACAAAAAAAUGAUCUAUAAUCUGAGUAUUUGUAGCUAUGUCUCCCAAACAAAGAUGGUCUUUGCCUACAAAAAUGCAAGUUCAAGAUUCUACUUGUCUUCUAUUAAAACACAGCUUGCAUGUAGAUUUAAUACAUGCAAAGAAACGGGUAAGUGAUCCUCAAUUUCGUCUACAAUCCUGAUUUUGCUGAGAUGUUCAUCCACAAUCUGGACCAGUACCGAUAUGAAAGAAAGGCGUAUAAUGCACUGUUGUUUAUUAAGACUGCAUCCUAGAUAAUAUUGUUUUAAAUGGAUAACAGGUAAAAUAACAUCAUAUUCAGAUUCUAUAUAUUUUUCUAAUCAAAUUUUAUAUAUAAGAUGUUAAAUUUGAAGUUAUGGUUUAGAAGAUAUGAGUAUUUUAAAAAACAUUUGAUAUGUAUUGCGGGUUUAUCUAUACUACUAUUAAACAAGCAAACAUUAUCUUUUUUAAGUGCACCCGGCCUAACGAACACACCACUAACACAAAGCAAUUAGAGCCUCAGGAUUGAAUCCACUUAUUUAGAUCUAACCGUUAAUCUAUACUACUAUUAAGUAAGGAAACAUUAUCUUUUUUAAGUGCACCGGUCCUAACGUACACAUCACUAACACAAAGCAAUUAGAGCCUCAGGAUUGAAUCCACUUAUUUAGAUCUAACCGUUAAAAUGAUAAUUAACCCUGACCAAAAGUACAUUUAGCAAUUUGCGGGGCGGACGAAAACUCUGCCAACUGCGUCCGCUAAUCCCUCCAUCUGUUCCGCUCUGCAUCGCACAUCCUCCCCUCCGCUGGCUCCGCAGCGGCCGCAGCGCGCCGCCCGCGAACCUCGCCUCCUCUCACGACUCACGAGCCAUCGCCUCACUUGUUCUCCGAGCGCCGCCGGCCCUCUCGCUGCGCCGACCUCACACGCCACAGCCGUCGCCGCCCUUCAAUCUCUCCUGCGACCAUGGCGCCUCUUGCCGCAUCCCCACCACUGUCCCCGACCUGGCAGCUUUGGCCGCUCCUACGGUGUCAUCCUGGACGAAGCCGCUGUCAAACGCGUCAGCGCCAUGCACUGCCGGAGGGAGGGGCCGCAUCAGCUGUCGCUGCCGUGCGCCUGGCCAAGGGCUGCGGCUAGGGUGCGUCGCCGCGCCAUGUAUCGCGGCGGGAGAUAAGGUUCGGGCCGUGCGGUUCUUCACUAACGCCGCCAUGCGCCUGAGGUGGGCGGCCUCCGCCGCCGACGAGAGCCUCGGUCGCCGCGGUUAGAGAUGCCAAGGCAAAGCUGCACCCGGACGGGUUGCUCCUGCUGUGCGGGCCAUGCCCGAGAGUGACUCCAACGAAGCCAUGGCCGUCGUCACGAGGGCGAGCGCGCUGCGCCAAUGGGUGGUGCCUAGAGGUCCCUGCAAAGAAAAAGUGCACGGCAGAGGACGGCGCUGAGCAGCGGGCGGUAUCGUCGGAUCUGGCAGCUGCCGAGAACCUGCGUGACGCACCGAAUCCCGAUUUCCACCCACUACACGCUGCCGGCCGGCUCUCACACAUGCAUCCAACCUCGAAGGAGAAUGCGACGUUCGUGGACGCUGCUCUCACCCUUCACAGGCUUACGUGGCGUUGUAUAUUUGUGUUUGCAGCUCACUGGCCUGAGAGGGUCAUCCUUGGGAGAGGAUGAGUGGCCCAAGGCAAUGCUUGUUGCAGCAGUAAUUUAUGACUAGCGCCGGGCAGAACAAUCUCUCAAAUGGACCGGGAUCUCUCUUAUUGACAGCAUAGAUGUUGAUCAGAUGGUUAUUCCUGAGGUAUGGCACAUGUGCUUCAUAGUUCUUGAUUGGUUUUGAAGAAAGAAAGAAAAUAUAUCACCAUGGCAUGCAGCUAAUUUCAGGGUUAUCAGUUAGGCCCACCCUUUUCUCCUACAAGAUAGUUCCUACAUGUGCGCCAAUGUACUGAUGUGUAUAGAAUUUGCAUGCGACAUUCCUGAAGGUAAUAAAAUGUUGCAUUUUAUACACAAUUACCGAGCUACCUGGAGUUUAGCCGUUUCAUGAUAUUGCAGAUGCUGUGAUGCUAUAAAGCAAAUAUAAUUUUAAAUAUUACUUUGUGAUAGGGAAACUGUCAAUUAAAGUUGUAAUUUUAUCUAACCAGCUUCGUUGCUUGCUUAUUCGUUUCAGUAAUUGGAACUGCUUUUGCUUUGAACAUGCGCUUCAAAAUUCUGAUAUGGUGUGGUGUUCUCAUAACUGGGCUCAGCACUCUGAUGCUCCUGUUCCUGCAACAAUACAGGGUAAGAACAUGUUCUGUUUUCUUUCACAGUAAUUUUCACCAGUUAGUAUUUUUUUAUUAAGUUCUGAUUACCAACAUAAUUUAUUUUCUUUGAAGAGAUGAUGUGUUUGCUGUCACUUAUACCGAAGAAGUGAAGAUGCAAGUCUCUGUUUCCACGAAGAUCACUCCUUUGCACUUGUAUUAUUUCCUUUUACUAAAGAGCCUUGAUACAAGAUAUACUUGAAGUAUUUUUCAGUUUUAUCAGUUGGUGUUACCUCAUUCAUUAUUACUAAACGGCAGCAGCAGUUGCGUCUUGUAGAAAACUAGCUUGAGCAUGAUGUGGCGUUGUGUCAUAUUCAUGCAAUUUGUCUGCUUGUUUUGCAGCUGAAAAAGCAUGUGGUAACAAUCCAUGGCUAUAAGGAAGGCCUGUCAUUACAGGAUGUUGCCCAGCAACCUAUUAGCGUAAGAAUGUGGCAGCGCUAGAGCAUUUCAGCUAUACUCCCAGGUUUGAAUGCAACUCUGUUCUCACUAACUUAUUUAAUAUAAUUUUACCAGUACUUGACUUCCAUUAUUUCCUUCGAUGGUCCAUGCCCAACGUCUCUUGAUCACUCAGUUCUAAUUGUGCCAUAUGGGUCCGAAGGUGGCAGUAAUUACUGUAUUGUGAAAAAUUCUUGGGGGGAAUAUGGGUCCGAAACACUGGCACGUGUCAGGUAUCCGUGGUAUAAACAUGAUGGCAUCGUUCCCUACAUCAUUGCUUGAAGUCUUAUUUGAGGUUUCAUCAUGUUUUUGUGAUUUAGAAGCCGACCUGCAUGAAAGCUCGAUAAGAUUACACUUGACAAAUGCUCUAGAAUUCUUUUCCUUCCAUCUUUAUUUUGGUUCAUUCCCGUUUCAGCUUCUGUACGUACAGACAAUGAUAUAGCUUUGUAAGUUAAUCAGGUUGCCAACGCGUAAAUACGAAACCGGAUAAAUACUUUGUAUCGUGAUGAUUAUUAGAUUUCUUUUAGCCCUUUUAUCUGAAACCAGAAAAAUACUUUGUAUUGUGAUGAUGAUUGGAUUUCUUUUAGCCCAUUUAUCCGAAACAGGAUAAAUACUUUGUAUCGUGAUGAUCAUUGCAUUUCAAGUAUCUUUUAGCCCUUUUACAUAAUCUUCUGUUUCUGCACAUAUAUGAGUCGCUGUAGUCACAUAUCAUCUUCUAUUAUGUAUUGAUUUGAUAUAUAUAUAUAUAUAUAUAUAUAUAUAUAUAUAUAUAUAUAUAUAUAUAUAUAUAUAUAUAUUUGCAACAUUUAUUUGCAUUCUACACUAUGUAAAUCUCAUAUGUUUUACGAUUCAGACGUGUGUUGCACGUGCACACUAACUAGUGUAAGAAGGGGGUUUUCUAUGAAAUAGCAUGACGGACUAAGAAUACCUAUAUCCUUUACUAGUAUGUAUAGAUUGGAUGGGAGUUAAAAAUACGUAUAGAUGGGGUGGUGGCAGCCAGGAAAUUGUGUUUAAUUACUUUAAGUAUUGAAAUUGUAAUGAUUACUUGCUAAGUCAAAGCUUGUAAUCAGAUUUAUUUCCUGAAGUGUUGGUGCAGAGUUAGAGGUAAAGAAGUUUUUGUUUGGUCAAAUUAUUAGGCAAGUUUGAGUCGGCUAGCUGUACGGGGAUAUAUAGUUAUGGUACGCUCUUUGUAAAAGCAGUUUAUAUUUUGGAGUUUAGACAACGUCGCGGGCGUCGCUGUUAUUUAUUUUGUAUAAAGUUUCUGUGUGAAAGUCAUACUUGGCUCGAGGUCUAUCGUUUUCGACAGCUUGUGUGUUGGUUACGUCUACUUCGACGGGAGGUUCUUCUUGUGUCGAGGGAUUAUCCAUGGGUUGUCGUUACCCUAUCUUCAGGUUACGUGUACUGCUCGCAUAACUGGGAGAUUUUAUCAGCUGAAUGCGGAGGAGUUCAUUCUAUUGUGAAAGAUCGUGCCAAAUCAGUAGCACGACGGGGUUCUGCUUUCAUCAGUUGGUAUUCAAAGCACAGGUUGUUCACGGUACAAUUGUUUUCUUCCAGUUACGAUUGAUAUUUUUAUUUAGCAUGAAGAAAGAUUGUAGUUCGCAAAUGGUGAUGGCGAUGGAGAAGGAUCCAUUGCGUCCCUUGCCUUGGUACCAAUGCUUUACGCGUUUGCGCGUCGAGCCAGCUAAUAGUGCCACGUUGAUGAAUUGUUGUUCCAGUAUGAUUUUGUUGAGUAAGACUAUAGUUAAUGCUUUGAACUUGUCGUUGAUUGAACAUACAGAACCAUACGAGCUUGUCGUGUGUGAUGUGCUUACUAUGCAUAUGCAUGUGUUUUCUAUAAUGUUGGGAAAACCAUGGACAGAUAUGAGACAAUUAACUCAUCAUUAUGAUGGUGAAUUUUCUUUUGUACGAAAGGGGCUACUUAUACCACACGACUCAUAUAACCUGGAGCAGUAUGGCCGAUCGGCAAAGGCGUGAUCAUGCUCAGGAAGCAAUUGAUGUGAAGGUAAUCAAUGACCAAGAGGAAGCAGACAAUUGAUGUGAAGGUAAUCAAUGACCAAGAGGAAGCAGACAUGGACAUUCAACAUGCUGAAUUUUUGGCCUCGACAGUGUUUGCGAAUGCGUAUGCUGAGAAGAUAGAAUCGAAACUGAGGACGGUUUCAUUUCAAUGGGGAGAGGAUGUGUACGUGAGCAGGUUUAAAUGGUGGGAUUUGCUGUCCUUGAGAAACAUUGGAUGAGGGCUGCCAGAAAAUUGUGUUCAAUUACUUUAAAUAUUUUAAUUGUAACGAUUACUUGCUAGUUAAAGCUUGUGAUCAAAUUUCCUUCCUCAGGGGUUGGUCGAGAGUUAGAGAUAAAAAAGUUAUUGUUUGGUCAACUUAUUAGGCAGGUUUGAGUCGGCUAGCUGUAUAUAUAGGUACGCUCUUUGUAAAAGCAGGUUAUAUUUUGGAGUUUAGACAACAUCGUGUAUCGACCAUGAAACGGCCGUCUUAGGGUGUCGCAGUUAUUCAUUUUGUAUGCAAUUUCUGUGUGAAAGUUAUACUUGGCUCGAGGUCUGUCGUUUUCGACGGGUUGCGUGUUGGUUACGUCUACCUCGGCGGGAGGUAAUUGAAUCGAGGGAUUGUCUAUUGGUUGUCGUUACCCCAUCUUCAGGUUAUGUAUACUGCUCGCGUAAUUGGGAGAUUUUAUCUGCUGACUUUGAGGAAGUUUAUUGUAUCGUGAAAGAUCGUGCCAGAUGAGUAGCACCAUGAGGUUGUGCUUUCAUCAGAUGGGGACUGGAGGAGACUUUGGUCGGCUGGUUCAGCCCAAUAUCGGCGUCAGCUCUCGAUGUCAUUACCUUCCAUCGAGGCAAAGCUGAGGUCCAUCCCCAACCCCCUCCCGAACGAGCGAGAGUCCAAAAUCCGUCUUGGAUUGGGCGCCGGUGACCCUGCACAUUGUACCCCUUGUUGGAGAACGUUGCAGAAAAUAAAAAAUUUCUAUGCUUCACGAAGAUGAAUCUACGGAGUCAUCUAGCAACGAGAGAGAGGAGUGCAUCUACAUACCCUUGUAGAUCGUGAGCGGAAGCGUUCAAGAGAACGGGGUUGAGGGAGUCGUACUCGUCGUGAUCCAAAUCACCAAAGACCCUAGUGCUUUACGGACAACACCUCCGCGUUCAACACACAUACGGUUGGGGAAGACGUCUCCUCCUUCUUGAUCCAUCAAGGAGGCAGGAGAGGUUGAUGGAGAUCCAGCAGCACGACGGCGUGGUGGUGGAAGUAGCGGCGAUCUGGCAGGGCUUCGCCAAGCUCAGCGAGAGGCAGAGGUGGUACGUGGGGAGAGGGAGGCGCCAGGGACUAGGGUCCGGCUGCCCUCCCUCCCCCCCUCUUUAUAUAGGGGGCCUAGGGGUGCGCCGGCCCCCUAGAGAUCCCAUCUCAAGGGGGGCGGCGGCCUAGGGGGGGAACUUGCCCCCCAAGUCAAGUGGGGCGCCCCCCACCCCUAGGGUUUCCAACCCUAGGCGCAGGGGGAGGCCCAAGGGGGGGCGCACCAGCCCACCAGGGGCUGGUUCCCUUCCCUCUUCAGCCCACGUGGCCCUCCGGGAUAGGUGGCCACACCCGGUGGACCAGCGGGACCCUUCCGGUGGUCCCGGUAGAAUACCGGUGAACCCCGAAAGUUUCCCAAUGGCCGAAACUGGACUUCCUAUAUACAAUUCUUCACCUCCGGACCAUUCCGAAACUCCUCGCGUCAUCCGGGAUCUCAUCCGGGACUCCAAACAACUUUGGGGUUAGCGCAUACUAAUAUCUCUACAACCCUAGCCUCAUCGAACCUUAAGUAUGUAGACCCGACGGGUUCGGGAAUCACGUAGACAUGACCGAGACAGCUCUCCGGCCAAUAACCAACAGCGGGAUCUGGAUACCCAUGUUGGCUCCCACAUGUUCCACGAUGAUCUCAUCGAAUGAACCACGAUGUCGAGGAUUCAGGUAAUCCCGUAUACAAUUCCCUUUGUCAAUCGGUACGUUACUUGCCCUAGAUUCGAUCGUCGGUAUCCCAAUACCUCAUUCAAUCUCGUUACCGGCAAGUCACUUUACUUGUACCGUAAUGCAUGAUCCCGUGACCAACCACUUUGUCGAAUUGAGCUUAUUAUGAUGAUGCAUUACCGAGUGGGCCCAGAGAUACCUCUCCGUCAUACGGAGUGACAAAUCCCAGUCUCGAUCCGUGUCAACCCAACAGACACUUUCGGAGAUACCUGUAGUGUACCUUUAUAGCCACCCAGUUACGUUGUGACGUUUGGUACACCCAAAGAACUCCUACGGUAUCCGGGAGUUACACGAUCUCAUGGUCUAAGGAAAUGAUACUUAACAUUAGAAAAGCUCUAGCAAACGAACUACACGAUCUUGUGCUAUGCUUAGGAUUGGGUCUUUCCCAUCACAUCAUUCCCCUAAUGAUGUGAUCCCAUUAUCAACGACAUCCAAUGUCCAUAGUCAGGAAACCAUGACUAUAUGUUGAUCAACGAGCUAGUCAACUAGAGCCUUACUAGGGACAUGUUGUGGUCUAUGUAUUCACACAUGUAUUACGAUUUCCAGAUAACACAAUUAUAGCAUGAAUAACAGACAAUUAUCAUGAACAAGGAAAUAUAAUAAUAAUCUUUUUAUUAUUGCCUCUAGGGCAUAUUUCCAAUAGUCUCCCACUUGCACUAGAGUCAAUAAUCUAGUUACAUUGUGAUGAAUCGAACACCCAUAGAGUUCUGGUGUUGAUCAUGUUUUGCUCGCAGAAGAGGUUUAGUCAACGGAUCUGCGACAUUCAGAUCCGUAUGCACUUUGCAAAUAUCUAUGUCUCCAUCUUGAAUAUUUUCACAAAUGGAGUUGAAGCGACGCUUGAUGUUCCUGUUCUUCUUGUGAAACCUGGGCUCCUUGGUAAGGGCAAUAGCUCCAGUGUUGUGAGAGAAGAGAGUGAUCGGCCCCGACACAUUGGGUAUGACUCCUAGGUCGGUGAUGAACUCCUUCAUCCAUAUUGCUUCAUGCGCUGCCUCCGAGGCUGCCAUGUACUCCGCUUCACAUGUAGAUCCCGCCACGACGCUUUGCUUGCAACUGCACCAGCUUACUGCCCCACCAUUCAAAAUAUACACGUAUCCGGUUUUUGACUUAGAGUCAUCCAGAUCUGUGUCGAAGCUAGCGUCGACCUUACCCUUUACGAUGAGCUCUUCGUCACCUCCAUAAACGAGAAACAUAUCCUUAGUCCUUUUCAGGUACUUCAGGAUAUUCUUGACCGCUGUCCAGUGUUCCAUGCCGGUAUUACUUUGGUACCUUCCUACCAAACACACGGCAAGGUUUACAUCAGGUCUGGUACACAUCAUGGCAUACAUAAUAGACCCUAUAGCCGAGGCAUAGGGGAUGACAAUCAUCUUUUCUCUAUCUUCUGCCGUGGUCGGGCAUUGAGUCGAGCUCAAUUUCACACCUUGCAACACAGGAAAGAACCCCUUCUUGGACCGAUCCAUAUUGAACUUCUUCAAUAUCUUAUCAAGGUAUGUGCUUUGUGAAAGACCUAUGAGGCGUCUCAAUCUAUCCCUAUAGAUCUUGAUGCCUAAUAUGUAAGCAGCUUCUCCAAGGUCAUUCAUUGAAAAACACUUAUUCAAGUAGGCCUUAAUGUUGUCCAAAAGUUCUAUAUCAUUUCCCAUCAAAAGUAUGCCAUCUACAUAUAAUAUGAGAAAUGCUACAGAGCUCCCACUCACUUUCUUGUAAACGCAGGCUUCUCCAUAAGUCUGCAUAAACCCAAACACUUUGAUCAUCUCAUCAAAGCGAAUGUUCCAACUCCGAGAUGCUUGCACCAGCCCAUAAAUGGAUCGCUGGAGCUUGCAUACCUUGUUAGCAUUCUUAGGAUCGACAAAAGCUUCCGGCUGCAUCAUAUACAGUUCUUCCUUAAGAUAGCCGUUAAGGAAUGCCGUUUUGACGUCCAUUUUCCAUAUCUCAUAAUCAUAGUAUGCGGCAAUUGCUAACAUGAUUCUGACGGACUUCAGCUUCGCUACGGGAGAGAAAGUCUCAUCGUAGUCAACCCCUUGAACUUGCCGAUAACCCUUAGCGACAAGUCGAGCUUUAUAGAUGGUAACAUUGCCAUCCGCGUCCGUCUUCUUCUUAAAGAUCCAUUUGUUUUCUAUCGCUCGCCGAUCAUCGGGCAAGUCUGUCAAAGUCCAUACUUUGUUUUCAUACAUGGAUCCUAUCCCAGAUUGCAUGGCUUCAAGCCAUUUGUUGGAAUGUGGGCCCGCCAUCGCUUCUUCAUAGUUCGAAGGUUCACCGUUGUCUAACAACAUGAUUUUCAAGACAGGGUUGCCAUACCACUCUGGUGUGGAACGUGUCCUUGUGGACAUACGAAGUUCAGUAGCAACUUGAUCCGAAGUACCUUGAUCAUCAUCAUUAAUUUCCUCUCCAGUCGGUGUAGGCACCACAGGAACAUCUUCCUGAGCUGCACUACUUUCCGGUUCAAGAGGUAGUACUUCAUCGAGUUCUACUUUCCUCCCACUUACUUCUUUCGAGAGAAACUCUUUCUCCAGAAAGGACCCGUUCUUGGCAACAAAGAUCUUGCCUUCGGAUCUAAGGUAGAAGGUAUACCCAAUGGUUUACUUAGGGUAUCCUAUGAAGACGCAUUUUUCCGACUUGGGUUUGAGCUUUUCAGGUUGAAGUUUCUUGACAUAAGCAUCGCAUCCCCGAACUUUUAGAAACGACAGCUUAGGUUUCUUCCCAAACCAUAAUUCAUACGGUGUCGUCUUAACGGAUUUAGACGGUGCCCUAUUUAAAGUGAAUGUAGCUAUCUCUAAAGCGUAUCCCCAAAAUGAUAGCGGUAAAUCAUUAAGAGACAUCAUAGACCGCACCUUAUCCAAUAAAGUGCGAUUACGACGUUUGGACACACCGUUAUGCUGAGGUGUUCCAGGCGGCGUGAGUUGUGAAACGAUUACACAUGUCCUUAAGUGCGUAUCAAAUUAGUAACUUAAAUAUUCUCCUCCACGAUCUGAUCGUAAGAAUUUUAUUUUUCGGUCACGUUGAUUCUCUACCUCAUUCUGAAAUUUCUUGAACUUUUCAAAGGUCUCAGACUUGUGUUUCAUCAAGUAGACAUACCCAUAUCUACUUAAGUCAUCAGUGAGAGUGAGAACAUAACGAUAGCCACCGCGAGCCUCAACGCUCAUUUUACCGCACACAUCAGUAUGUAUAAUUUCCAAUAAGUUGGUUGCUCGCUCCAUUGUUCCGGAGAACGGAGUCUUGGUCAUUUUACCCAUGAGGCAUGGUUCGAACGUGUCAAAUGAUUCGAAAUCAAGACACUCCAAAAGUCCAUCUGUAUUGAGCUUCUUCAUGCGUUUGACACCAAUGUGACCAAGGCGGCAGUGCCACAGAUAUGUGGGACUAUCAUUAUCAAUCUUACAUCUUUUGGUAUUCACACUAUGAAUAUGUGUAAAAUCACAUUCGAGAUUCGUUAAGAAUAAACCAUUCACCAGCGGGGCAUGACCAUAAAACAUAUCUCUCAUAUAAAUAGAACGACCAUUACUCUCGGAUUUAAAUGAGUAGCCAUCUCGUAUUAAACGAGAUCCAGAUACAAUGUUAAUGCUCAAAGCUGGCACUAAAUAACAAUUAUUGAGGUUUAAAACUAAUCCCGUAGGUAAAUGUAGAGGUAGCGUGCCGACGGCGAUCACAUCGACCUUGGAACCAUUCCCGACGCGCAUUGUCACCUCGUCCUUCGCCAGUCUCCGCUUAUUCCGUAGCUCCUUCUUUGAGUUACAAAUAUGAGCAACCGCACUGUUAUCAAAUACCCAGGAGCUACUACGAGUACUGGUAAGGUACACAUCAAUUACAUGUGCAUCACAUAUACCUUUAGUGUUGCCGGCCUUCUUGUCCGCUAAGUAUUUGGAGCACCUCCGCCUCCAGUGACCCUUCCCUUUGCAAUAAAAGCACUCAGUCUCAGGAUUGGGUCCAUUCUUUGGCUUCUUCCCGGCAACUGGCUUACCGGGCACGGCAACUCCCUUGCCGUCCUUCUUCAAGCUCUUCUUACCCUUGCCUUUCUUAAAACUAGUGGUUUUAUUGACCAUCAACACUUGAUGUUCCUUUUUGAUUUCCACCUCCACUGAUUUCAGCAUUGAAAAUACUUCAGGAAUAAUUUUCACCAUCCGCUGCAUAUUGUAGUUCAUCACAAAGCUCUUGUAGCUAGGUGGGAGCGACUGAAAGAUUCUGUCAAUGACCGCCUCGUCCGGGAGGUUAAUGUCCAGCUGGGACAAGCGGUUGUGCAACCCAGACAUUUUGAGUAUGUGCUCACUGACAGAACUAUUUUCCUCCAUCUUACAACAGUAGAACUUGUCGGAGACUUCAUAUCUCUCGACCCGGGCAUGAGCUUGGAAAACCAUUUUCAGCUCUUCGAACAUCUCAUAUGAUCCGUGUUGCUCAAAAUGCUUUUGGAGCCCCAGUUCUAAGUUGUAAAGCAUGCCGCACUGAACGAGGGAGUAAUCAUCAGCACGUGACUGCCAAGCGUUCAUAACGUCUUGGUUCUCUGGGAUGGGUGCUUCACCUAGCGGUGCUUCUAGGACAUAUGCUUUCUUGGCAGCUAUGAGGAUGAUCCUCCGGUUCCGUACCCAGUCCGUAUAGUUGCUGCCAUCAUCUUUCAGCUUGGUUUUCUCUAGGAACGCGUUAAAGUUGAGGUUGACAUGAGAGUUGGCCAUUUGAUCUACAGGACAUUUUGCAAAGGUUUUUAGACUAAGUUCAUGAUAAUUAAGUUCAUCUAAUCAAAUUAUUUAAUGAACUCCCACUCAGAUUAGACAUCCCUCUAGUCAUCUAAGUGAUACAUGAUCUGACACAACUAGACCGUGUCCGAUCAUCAUGUGAGACGGACUAGUCAUCAUCGGUGAACAUCUCCAUGUUGAUCGUAUCUUCCAUACGACUCAUGUUUGACCUUUCGGUCUCUUGUGUCCCGAGGCCAUGUCUGUACAUGCUAGGUUCGUCAAGUCAACCUAAGUGUUUUGCAUGUGUAAAUCUGUCUUACACCUGUUGUAUGUGGACGUUGGAAUCUAUCACACCUGAUCAUCACGUGGUGCUUCGAAACAAUGAACUUUCGCAAUGACGCACAGUUAGGGGGAACACUUUCUUGAAAUUAUUAUGAGGGAUCAUCUUAUUUACUACCGUCGUUCUAAGCAAAUAAGAUGCAAAAACAUGAUAAACAUCACAUGCAAUCAAAUAGUGACAUAAUAUGGCCAAUAUCAUAUUGCUCCUUUGAUCUCCAUCUUCGGGGUGCCAUGAUCAUCUUUGUCACCGGCAUGACACCAUGAUCUCCAUCAUCGUGUCUCCAUGAAGUUGUUGGCCAACUAUUACUUCUACUACUAUGGCUAACGGUUUAGCAAUAAAGUAAAGUAAUUACAUGACGUUUAUUCAUUGACUCGCAGGUCAUACAAUAAUUAAGAUAACUCCUAUGGCUCAUGCCGGUUGUCAUACUCAUCGACAUGCAAGUCGUGAUGCCUAUUACAAGAACAUGAUCCCAUACAUCACAUAUAUAUCAUUCAUCACAACCUUUUGGCCAUAUCACAUCACAAGAAAUAUGCUGCAAAAACAAGUUAGACGUCCUCUAAUUGUUGUUGCAUGUUUUUACGUGGCUGCAAUAGGGUUCUAGCAAGAACAUUUGUUACCUACGUAAAAGCCACAACGUGAUAUGCCAAUUUCUAUUUACCCUUCAUAAGGACCCUUUUCAUCGAAUCCGGUCCGACUAAAGUGGGAGAGACAGACACCCGCUAGCCACCUUAUGCAACUAGUGCAUGUCAGUCGGUGGAACCUAUCUCACGUAAGCGUACGUCUAAGGUCGGUCCGGGCCGCUUCAUCCCACGAUGCCGCCGAAACAAGAUAAGACUAGUAGUGGCAAGAAAAUUGAUAACAUCUACGCCCACAACAAGAUUGUGUUCUACUCGUGCAUAGAAACUACACAUAGACCUAGCUCUAAUACCACUAUUGGGGAACGUUGCAGAAAAUAAAAAAUUCUACGCUUCACCAAGAUCAAUCUAUGGAUUCAUCUAGCAACGAGAGAGAGGAGUGCAUCUACAUACCCUUGUAGAUCGCGAGCGGAAGCAUUCAAGAGAACGGGGUUGAGGGAGUCGUACUCGUCGUGAUCCAAAUCACCGAAGAUCCUAGUGCUGAACGGACAGCACCUCCGUGUUCAACACAUGUACGGUUCGGGAAGACGUCUCCUCCUUCUUGAUCCAGCAAGGAGGAAGGAGAGGUUGAUGGAGAUCCAGCAGCACGACGGCGUGGUGGUGGAACUAGCGGCGAUCUCGGCAGGGCUUCGCCAAGCUUAGCGAGAGGGAGAGGUGGUACAUGGGGAGAGGGAGGCACCAGGGACUAGGGUGCGGAGGCCAUCCCUCCCCCCUCUUUAUAUAGGGGCUUAGGGGUGCGCCGGCCCCCUAGAGAUCGCAUAUCAAGGGGGGCCGGCGGCCUAGGGGGGGAACUUGCCCCCCCAAGUUAGGUGGUGCGCUCCCCAUCCCUAUGGCUUCCAACCCUAGGCGCAGGGGGAGGCCCGAGGGGGGGUGAACCAGCCCACCAGGGGCUGGUUCCCUUCCCUCUUCAGCACACGUGGCCCUCCGGGAUAGGUGGCCCCACCCGAUGGACCCCCGGGACCCUUCCGGUGCUCCCGGUACAAUACCGGUGAACCCCGAAACUUUCCCAGUGGCCGAAACUGGACUUCCUAUAUACAAUUCUUCACCUCCGGACCAUUCCAGAAAUCCUCGCGACGUCCGGGAUCUCAUCCGGAACUCCGAACAACUUUCGGGUUACCGCAUACUAAUAUCUCUACAACCCUAGCGUCACCGAACCUUAAGUGUGUAAACCCUACGGGGUCAGGAAUUACGUAGACAUGACAGAGACAGCUCUCCGGCCAAUAACCAAUAGCGGGAUCUGGAUACCCAUGUUGGCUCCCACAUGUUCCACGAUGAUCUCAUCGAAUGAACCACGAUGUCGAGGAUUCAGGUAAUCCCAUAUACAAUUCCCUUUAUCAAUCGGUAUGUUACUUGCCCGAGCUUCGAUCGUCGGUAUCCCAAUACCUCCUUCAAUCUCGUUACCGGCAAGUCACUUUACUCGUACCGUAAUGCAUGAUACCGUGACCAACCACUUGGUCACAUUGAGCACAUUAUGAUGAUGCAUUACCGAGUGCGCCCAGAGAUACCUUUCCGUCAUACGAAGUGACAAAUCCCAGUCUCGAUCCGUGUCAACCCAACAGACACUUUCGGAGAUACCUGUAGUGUACCUCUAUAGCCACCCAGUUACGUUGUGACGUUUGGUACACCCAAAGCACUCCUACGGUAUCCGGGAGUUACACAAUCUCAUGGUCUAAGGAAAUGAUACUUGACAUUAGAAAAGCUCUAGCAAACGAACUACACGAUCUUGUGCUAUGCUUAGGAUUGGGUCUUGUCCAUCACAUCAUUCCCCUAAUUAAUGAUGUGAUCCCGUUAUCAACGACAUCCAAUGUCCAUAGUCAGGAAACCAUGACUAGGGACAUGUUGUGGUCUAUGUAUUCACACAUGUAUUACGAUUUCCAGAUAACACAAUUAUAGAAUGAAUAACAGACAAUUAUCAUGAACAAGGAAAUAUAAUAACAAUCAUUUUAUUAUUGCCUCUAGGGCAUAUUUCCAACACCCCUCCAUGGGGGCGCCAUCUUGGGAGGCUUGGGUGUUCGGGGGAGAGUUGCUAUGGUUGGUGGAAUCCGCAUGGCAUGGUCUCUAGCGGCGGCGAUGUUGUGGAGGUUGUUAGGUGAAGCGGCGUUGCAUCUACCACGUUGACGAUAGUGGAUGUUGGCGGCAUGGUGCAACCGAGUCUCCAUGACACAUGCGUCUGAAUGGACGAGCGUAAGGCGGUAGCGCUGAUCGUCGCCGUGGUGGCAUCGACGUAUGGUCGUCCUGGGAAGGAUGUUGCAGAUAUCUUUUCUAGACAUGGGUCAGCGGUUUGAUGGUGGUGGCGGCUUCUAACACAUGCAUGUGUGUGUGGUGUACGCGUUAGAUUUGCUGCACCAAGUGUAGGCUGCUCAUAUGUUAUGCGGGUAGAUCGGUGGUGACCUCAAUUCUAGAUGGUGGGAGAGACGGGCACUCCAUGUUGUUGAGUUGUUAGGUGUAAGUGGUGGCUUCGGAUGGCUUGAUGUAUGUUCUUGUCAGAACUUUGUUGAAUAAUUAAUAAAGAUGACAGUAUGCAAGGAUUGAUGGAGAAGCCGGGGAUUUAAAUCUCCUUUUCAAAAAAGAAAAAAACAUGUCACUAACCAAAGGCAAUUUCCCGGAACCUCCAUAUGGUUGCGUGCACUCCGUGUUUAGCUAUUAGUGUUGGCCAUCUUACUUUUUCCACGGACUAUUUAGGACUCAGACUAGCCAUAGUGGCAGUAACUUCAAGAGUAAUAUCAGGUCCAACUCAGCAAAUUUGCCUAUGUGUCAACGAGUUAAUGAGGAGAGGUGUAAAUUGAGUAACUUAGCUAGUUACCAUAACCUCACAAAUCUCAAGACAAUAUGAAUCUAUAACCUAAUAAAUGAGGCUUUGCAUGACAUCACACAUAUGUUACUAGUACCCACUAUAGAGGUAGUAAUAUAGCCAGAGUAGCCUGUAUGUUAUGGCUAGUCUCAUUCAUGGGAGCAGACUUUGCUCAAGGCGUGGAACACGAGGUGAUUACAUAUUUUUCUUCAAGGUCUACAGAUGCUUCUCAAAAGACGAAAAAAGAUGUUUUUUCUAUAAACAGGUCAAUAGAUGCUUUUAUUUCAUGUUACGUCAUAUAGUACCAAUAGAGAAUUAAGGAAUGAGAUCAUGAGAUAAUUUAUAUAAUCAUCUCCAUCGAAUUAAGUAGUUAGUCAACGAUAGUAUGCCUGGUGCAUGCUAGCUAAAGCAAUGCAAUAACAGCUACUAGCUUAUAGCUAUCCAGAUCCAAGAAGGAUGCUGCGCGCGCCUAUAAAUACCUAUCUACUCCAUCUGGCUCGGGAAUAAGCGUCCCCUUCUCCUCCAUCAGCCAGCUAGCCAGCAUCCCCCAUCUUCUUCCUCUCUACAGAUCGAGUUCGAUCAAACACAUCCAUCAUAACCAAAUCCAGCCCAAGAAAUGGCGCCUCUCAAGGUGACAGCUGCCUUAUGUGCCGUGCUGGUCCUGAUGAUCCAGCUGCAGGCGCCGGCGGCCGCACAGGACAUAACAUGCGACAAGUGCGGACCGGGAUGUGGCCAGGCGUGCAAUGCGCAGCGCCCCUACUUUUGCAACAACUUCUGCAACAUCUUUCCCACCCUGUGCAACUACUGCUUCCUCAUCCAAUCCGACUUGUGCGUGCCCGAGUGCACAAACCUCUGCAGGAUCAACUGUGUGUGAUCAACCAUGCAGGAACGCAUCGACAUGCGUGGAUUCAAGAGUGUCGAUGAGCAUGCUAGCGUUGCCAUUGUU